GUUCUAACUUCUUUCUGAGCUUAAAAUAUAUCCAUUAAUCCAAAAAUCCCUUUGACCAACAAUCUUUGAUGAAUGAACACAAAAGCUUCAUAGUUUGAUGAAGAAGCCUUUCUUUCAUACACAACUUAAACAUAAUUCCCAAACAUACAUUUUUUAUAAAAUUGAAAACUUUUUUCUGUAAAACCUAUGGAUUACAGGACAUGAAAAUAUUUAUACAAAUUCAAAGAAAUGCUAUGCACCCGCCUUCAUAAAUGGUGUCAAAGAAGAACACAAAGAAGAAUUGAAAGCCAACAUUUAAUCUCUCUUCUCCCAAUAUUCAGAAUCCAAGUUGACUGGGUAGAGAUCAGGGAUGGAUGAAGAAGCAGUCCAUGGCCCAUCUGGCAUGCUCUGAGCCUUGCUCUCGCUCACGCCCAUGCUCUUUUCUUGGAUGUGGCGAUAAUGCUCCUUCAUCUCCUCGAGCUUUAAGUCAUCACUGGGAGCACUGGGAUCAGAAACGAUGUCCUGAACAGCAGUUCUGCCUUCAAGCAUGCUCACAACUGAUGACAUAGCUGGCCUGACUGCUGAAGAGAUGGUCGUGCACAGGAGAGCUAUGUUGAGCAUUGCCAUGACCUCUUCCUUGUUGAAGUCUGAGCCCAAUCUGGGGUCAACUAUAUCCAUUAAGCUCCCCUUCUCUUUUAAAGAGAGUGCCUAGAAGUUGAGAAAGAAAGAAAAUCCAAUAAGAGAAUUGCUCGUGUUUAACUCAAGCAAUAGGGACUCAGGCUGCAAGACUAUUUGUUUCAACAUAUGCUGAAUGAAGCCAUGGAAAUGCCACAACCACAUUGAAUGAGAUCAAAAUUUGAUAUGUAUGAAUGGAAUAUGCCCAGCUAGCCUGCUACCCAGAAAGAGGCAUGCUAAUAUAGGAGUUUCCUCAGAGUGGUCCAGGCAGGUCCUGGAUGACGUCUUAUUACUAAUACGGUAAUACCACACAAUAUAAUUGAAGUCAUUCAGGAAGAAAGCAUAUACUACCUGCUUCUUCAUUUAAGGUUGAAAAGGUAGCAAUACAUGUAAGUAUUAGUAGUAUUGGGGCAAUUUCGGUUUGUCUGAGCAAAUUUUUGUUCAAGAGAGCCUAUUUGACCCAUAUAGAAUCAUGAACUAGGAAAAUGGUCCAAAGGAUGCCAUGAAUCAGAAUAUAACUUCGGCCCAAGAUAGGAAAAUGUAGUUGCCAUUAUGUGAUGACUAUAUAUUUAUAUAUAUAUAUAUAAUUCAAGAGCCAUGGUUAGGGGUUCAUGAUUUGGAUCCUAUUCACUUCCACUUUGAUCAGGCUGGGAAAGCAGCUAGUCCUUGGUCGGUUCUAGUUAAGUUGCUUCACUCAGCAGAUCUGCUAAAACAGCAGCAUGACCUGCUACUGUUAUGUGGAACUGCCCAUUUCAAAACGAGGUUAAACCAUGUCUUUUGGCUGUAGGAAGUGUUAGACAGAACCAGUGUGAGGGGAUAAAUUUAUACUCUGUGUUCUCAACAGUUUUUACAGCUUCUAGUUUGAACGAUGAAGCCAUCCAUCCUUGAAGAUGCUUCCCGACACAAAUAAAAAACCAUGCUGUUAAAAUUAUGCAAUCAGCCUAAAUGGAUAAGAAUGAGAAAAUUCAGAGACGACAAAUGCAAGAAAGAAUGUUGUCAAAAUUACCCGAUCAAGAAGAUAGAUGGAUUCUUCUUUUGGCCUAUAAGUAGUGUUGCUUCUUCCACUGACAAUUUCCAAGGCAACAACUCCAAAACUGUAAACAUCUGCUUUGUCGGUUAAAUAGCCCCGCAUUGCAUAUUCAGGUGCCAUAUAUCCACUGCAAAAUGAGAGUAUGAUUUUACACAAAUUUUCCUUUUGAAAUGAAGGAUAAACACUGGUGAUCAAAAGCAAAAAAUUCUAGUAUGUGGUUUCCAAAGUGAUAACAGUGUCACUGCUUCCUAUUUGAGCUAAACAGAAAGAUAAAUAAUGAUACAAAAAAUUAUCACAGCCAUAAGAAUUUGGGUUACCUGAAUUCUGAAGCAGUAAGAAACCAUUGACAUCCAUUCAAAAGAAAGGAAAAGCCCAUUAAGUAAAAAUCAGGAGAUAGUGACUCACUAUGUACCAGCAAUCCGAGUGCUAAUGUGGGUGUUAUCCUCUUCAUCAAGUUUGGCCAAACCAAAGUCAGAUAUUUUGGGGUUAAGAUCCUUAUCAAGUAGCACAUUUGUGGCCUUGAUGUCUCGGUGGACGAUCUUCAGCCUUGAUUCUUCAUGAAGAUAAGCCAACCCUCUUGCUAUGCCAACACAGAUCCUGUGUCUAGUUGGCCAAUCCAAUUGUAAUUGACAUUCUUCGGGGCCUAAAUCAUCAUAUCAACCAAAAGUUAGAUGUAAGAAGCACAAUCACACAAGUUCAUAUACAUGUAGUUUUAUAGCAGAAGCAAUUGAGUAAAGCACGUAAGCAGAUGUGAAAAAAAACAGACCAAACAAAGCACGAGCGAGGCUGUUAUUUUCCAUGUACUCGUAUAUCAGCAACAACUGAUUUCCUUCUAUACAACAGCCAUAGAGCUUCACAAGAUGAGGAUGUUGAAGAGCAGAAAUCAUGCCUAUCUCAUUCACAAACUCACGGUUUCCUUGUUUUGAUUUGGAAGAAAGCUGCUUCACUGCAAUUAUGGUGCCAUCGGAUAAGACGCCCUGCAUUUUGAGAAAUAAUGUCCUCUCUUCAGUAUAAAGUUUUAUGAGAACAAACUGCUUACCAAACAUCUUAAAUGCAUAAAAUGAGGGAAAACUAAUUCUUGUGCUGAAUACCUUGUAAACAGAACCAAAUCCACCUUCUCCAAUUUUGUUGGCAGCAUCAAAGUUGUUUGUUGCAGCCUUAAUUUGCCUUAAGGUAAACAAGCCAGUCUGCAGAUCUAGACCCUUUAACUCUGUAGAAGAAGCCAAGUUAGAUAAGAAAUAUAUCUAAUAAAAAGUUGCAAUCAUUUCUAAAUUCCUAAUAGUUUGAGAAGGAUUUUGAUGGAUUAUAACUGUAUCUUCUACAUCCAGAGAAAUCAACCCUGAUUAGAUACCAUGUUUUGGCAUGAAUGCCAGCAAACCAAUCCACUGCUACGACAUCAACAAUCAAAUGUUUUGAUAGACAAAUUUUUUCAUAAUCAAUACCUUGUUCCAACGUAUCUUUGCGCCUUAGGCAAUCUCUCCACCAAAGGAUACCUAUAAGCAGGAAGACAAGAAGAAUGACUCCAGCCACAAUGCCAACCACAACGCCAACAGAUAUACUACUGCUUCCAUUUUCGGUAGGAGGUAUAAAAUCUGCAAGAAAAAACAAAGUUAGAACAGAUACACAGAUGGAAUGGAUGCUUUUGGGCAAAUGAUGGCACAAAGAAAAACAAAAUCCAACCAUUAGUGAUGCUGCAAAAAGAGGCUAACAACAAAAAAUAUUUUAUCAACAUUAAUUCUUCAGAGAGUCGAAGCUAAAUAAACAUGAAAAGAUGCUCGAACUGUUGGAAAAUUUCAGAAGAGCACCACAUACAGAGCAAUGAAAUUUCCUGUAAUAUAAGUAGCAUCCAAAUAUAUAUAGAUAUAUCAAAACAUACUUGUGCUAAACCCUUCAAAAAAUAAUGAAUCAUGUCCAUGUUGGUUCCAAGUGACCUAAAGAAAAGAGGAGUUGUGCAGACUGAACCAAAUCACUUAACUAUAAUAAAUGUGUAAUUUGAGAAAAAGUAGAAGAACAAACCCUUUUACAUCCCAACUAUUCAAAAUUGUUGAACUACUAAUUUUCCUAAAAGCUUAACCUUACCCUCCUUUACUACCCGCAUGUGGAGAGACAAAUAGAAUUUGGAUUCAUAUCCAAUGGACAAAGAUAGACAAAAUUUGGAUUUUUAUUCAACAAACAAAUAAAGGAAAUGCAAAUUGCAGAGAGAAGGAUCAAACCCAGGACCUCCCCCCAAACCAAGCUUUGAAAUCAUGUUCAACUACCAAUUUUCCUAAAAGCUUAAGCUUGUAGGAUUUGGGCUCAAUAUGCAUAUCAUGCUUUUUAAUAAAAAUGAUAAAGAAAAUUCAUAAAACAAGCUCAGAAAAUGUGUGACGUACCAGGGUCCACAGAAAUAGCUGAUAUAAGAGGACCAUAAACUCCUCUAACUGGGAUACCUGUAGUCCCUUUCCCAGCCCAAUAGAAGCGAAUUUCCAAGGUAUUAUUAGUCACAACUGCAGUAAAAUAUUUUAAGAUUUCCUUGCUAACACCUCCUGCUUCAUCCUCAAUAUUGAAAUCCUUGAGAACCAACUUAUCCUGCAACAAACCACUCCAAUUACAACUGAAAUUUUCAAGGUGCUAUAAAUUGAAAUGGUGUCCCAAGAUUUCUCUAAAACUUUGUGCAAAAAAGUUGAAUUUUUAUAUAGGUUAAAGUCAAGAACUCAAAAUGGCUUGAAUCCAAAAUGCUAAAGUUUCUUGUACUUUUUAAAAUUAGAACUUUGGUUGGUGAACAUGGAAGUAAUGUGAUUCAUUACCUGAACAUAAACAUCAAACAAACGCCUACCAAGGCUGCUAUAUGUUUUGUCAUCAGUAAAGGUGAUCUCUGCAAAGUGAAGCUUUACUGUGUAGUUUCCAUUUUCCAGACAGAAUCCAUAAUAAGUGAGAGACAGGGCAGAGAGGCGUGCGGUUGUAUACAGUCCAGAAUUUUCCAUGAUGAGUCUAGACACGUUUGUCCCAAUAAAGGAGUCCGUAGGGCGGUCAUCGUCCAUGAAGUGACCUGUGCUGCUGAAUGCCCAGUUUGUUCUACUCUGAUAGAACUUUGAUGGUCCACCAGAAUCUGUGUCAUCUUCAUAUGUGGUAUUUCCAUCAACAAUUACUUCUUUUCCACCACAAUUUAUGUGCAUGGAGUAAAACUCUGGAAAAAAAACCUACAAUAGAUUGGUGAAAUUGAACAAGAAAAGAAAAAGGAUAUUUAGAAAAAGGCACAAGAAAAUACAUCCAUUAACCACCCUUCCCGAACUUUUACUUUAAUCAGCAAACUUGUGACACUGUUUUGGACUGUAUACCAAUCCAUUUUUAAUAGACCAUGUGAUCCAAUGGAAAGAUUUCAACCCCAAAUGCAUUAGCAGUACCCUAAAUGCACAGGGCAAAGCACAAGAAAGGAGAAUGCCUAUCUUGAAGAGAUUUUGAGACACGGUGUGCUGAAAUGUGGGUCGUCUACAAAGCUGGUCUGAUCAGUGUUUUAUCAACACUAGAAGCACAAAUUUUGAGUUGAAGAUUAAUCAGACUCAUCUCAAGUUAUGGAAAGUGAAAUUGAUGACAUUCUAAAAUCCAUUUAUAUUCUUCCAUUAAUUUCAUUCUUUUGUAUUUCUUAAUUAACAAUGUCAAGAUAGCAUAUGAUAUUUAAACUUACUUUUUGGGCAAUUAAAGCUUCUCAAGCACGAGACAAUUCCACUGAGAAAACAACGUAAUGCCCAGCAAAAGUCAGCAUCACAACAUCAUAUUUGAAUAUUACAUGACAAGGAAAGAAUCGUAGUGCUGAAAAAAAUUAUUGGCUUCAGAAAACAUUUAUUUAUUACAAUCCUUAAAAUGGUAAUUAGAAACUCACGAGUUAUUUCCUCCUGAUGAGCUUCCAAACAAAUUUCUGUAGAAAAUAUCACAAUAUUGAAAGUUUAGAUGCUAAACAGAUGAUUUUACACAGCAAAUAAUACAGAAAAGAAAUAUCUUAUGUUAGAUAAGAGUAUUCUUACACACUCCGUUCUUGACAUCCUCUUGAGCUUUCACUAGUAAAGUUAUUGUAUGAAAGAUCACUGCACACAGUAUUCACAGUUUAAUUCAUCAUAGUUUUCCAUGCAGAAUGAACAUCAAGUUAAUAAAUCAUGACUUCACAUGAACAGAAUUGCAUAUAGUAUUUGAUUAUCUGAACCUUAUUUCUAAAUAACCCAAGAGAUGAAGUGUCUUGUGCCAUUAGCCAUGCAACACACAACCAAUAGCUCAGUUGUUCCUUUAGGAGUGGUCCUAAACCACUUUGAGCUAUAGUGCAAAGAACUAUUCCCCCAAGCCUAAAAUACUCUACAAUCCAUCUAUCCAUCCUCACAUAUCACCCUCUUUUUUGUCUAGAAUCCAAGUUAUAUGCAAAAGGGAGCGGAAAUACGACUUAUUGCUUUUGGUGGCAAGAGUUUUCAAUGUGCAACAGCUGUUUGUGUAAAGGAAUGAGGAAAUCGUGUUUUGCAUGAAAAAUUCUGUAGUAUGUCUUCGUACAAAGCAUGAACAGUUUUAAUCAGAUUCCUUAAUAGCACAGAAUAAAAGAACAAUUAUCUCUUCCAAAUUUUAGAACUAACAGAAUGUUUGCUACCCAAAUAUUUGAAAUAUUAAUCGAUAAUCAGAAUUCAUGGCGAAACAUAGAAUCAACAUUCAAAGCCAAAUUUAUUUGCUGUAAGGAUGCAAGUGUAUGCCCAUUAAAACUAAUAAAAAAAAAUAGAAGCAAGAAAGUAAUAAAAGCAAAUUGAUAGUUAACAUGUGAUGAGUAGAAACAAACAAACAUAGCCACAACAAUAUAUAAAGCAUUUGAGAAAAAAAUUUACUAGUUGUCUCCUCUUUUCAGCAUCCAAUCAGGCACGGCUCCAGUUAGCAUGUUUCCGGUAAAAUACCUACAUAACAUUGAGUUGUCCAACUUUAGUAUUGCUCAAGUAGUUUUCUUCACUAGAGUAACAUCUGAAGCAUGAUAGGAAAAACUUACUAGUAAUUCCCCCUUCAAGGACCAAAAUUAGUUUUCAAUCAAUCAGAAUGAAUUCAUCUGUCAAUUGGCUCUUUAUUCAGAAGGCUUUUAAAGCCAACAUAUGUGAUUUAGUCACUCAAUCAAUUUGAUCCUAGGCUCUAAAAUCUCCUGGUUCAUUUAGGCAAUUAACUUGGUCUUUUAGAUUAACCUUUACUUGUAGCACAUUGGACUUCUUUCUUCAUUUAGACCAUUAAACUCAUCUUUCAGAUUCAGUACUGAAGCCCAACCAAUGUGGUUUAGUCUUAAAAUCAAUUCAACUCCACAUCCUCUAAGCUUUCUUGGUUCAUUUAGGCCAUUAUAUUGGUUUUUCAUUUCAAUCUGUUGAUUAUUAGGUAAUUUCACCCCUUGGAAUCAGCUUGAAUAGUUGUCAAAACCUAAAGAAGAAAUUUUUAUAUGAAAAUACACUGCUUACAUGUAAUCUGCAUUUGAUAGACCGACAAAGCUGCUUGGAAUUUCUCCAGUUAGUUUGUUAAAACUCAGAUCUCUGCAAGAGAAUCAUAAACAGAAUGCAUUAAAAAUUGCUCUACCCCGAAAGAGUCGAACACCUGAGAAUGGAAAAACAAUACCAAGAAACCGAAAUGACAUGCUGAAAUGAAUAAAUAUGAAGUUUAUGGAAUUGUGUAUGCAUCAUAACAAUUUCUUAAUAAGGCAAAUGAUACAAAGUAGGAGCUAUGUCUCAAGCUCCUUCCACCACAUAACCGUUUAUGAUUAGCACUUGUCACUGGAUACUGGCAGCUUAUACAUUGACCAUCUGUUUUUCUUCUUGGCUCAAAAUACUACUCUAGAUGCAUUUCAGAUGGUCUAAAUUAUCUGCGAGUAAAGAUUCCCUUUCCACAUUUUGUCCGAUUAAGAAUCUAGAUCCCAGAAAUUAUGACAACUAAACUCAUAAAGCCAUCCACUUCAGAGAGACAAAAUGGCUAUUUAUCAAUUUUUACUUGAUACGUCAUGAAACAUACAUGCUGAAUAGGCAGGUGCAAAUAGCAAUGUGUGAGCCCAUGCAACAAGCAGGCUCCUACUUAGCAGUGAAUAUGACACUCAAAGAAGCAUUUAUGAAGUUAUAGAAAAGCCAGACUACUAGGAGCCUUCUCGACAUGUCUCCAGGGUCUUAUUUUCUAUCUAUUCAUACAAACAAUGCAAGCUGUAAGCAGCUUAUUCAAAAUCCAAAUUAGUCAAAACACAGAGAUGCGGUGACCACUCAAGGAACAUCACAAGCUAUGCAAGAAGUCAUAACAUGAAACAAUCUCUGAAUUAGUAGAAAAACACGUUUCAAAGAAUCUUAACAAUUAGUCUGCAACAGGUAAAGGGGAAAAGAUACUAAAUAUAUACUGACAGGGUUUUCAAUUUUGUCAUUUCCCCAAGGUAAUCAGGUAGCGGGUCAACAAUAUUGCAACUCCUCAAUAUCCUGCAAUCAAAUCAAAUAUAUAUCACCAAAAAUCUCGAAAAUAUGUUCUAUGUACUGUGUAUUAUCAAGGGCAAUCUACUCACAGUGUUUUCAAGUCUCUCAUAUCACUCAAUGGUGGAAAAGUUGCUUCAGUUCCAUUCAGGUCACUGAUUCUCCUGAACAUAGAAAUUUAAUAAAAAAUAAAAAUAUAAUAAUUUCAAUCCAUAUAAAUUAUCAAAGCUAUGGCAUAGGAGAGCUUUACUCACAAGUCAGUUAUUUUUGUCAAAAGGGCAAUGCCAGAAGGAAUCGGCCCACUGAAACCACUCCCUUGAAUCACUCUGUCGGUAGCAAAUUUCAAUUAGAAUAUGUGAUUAUAAAUGAAAUCAUGCCACUCAUACCAACUCAAACAUCAGAUUCAACAAAGCUCUCACAAUUUUUCAAGUUUUGUCCAGUUCUGUAUAAAAUUGGGUAUCUUUCCUGUGAACUGAUUAUCUCCAACCCGACUGCAUUGAAUUAAAACAAAGAUACAAUAGCCCCAAUCUCAGAAUUCAACCAAAAAAAGAUGCUAAUUUAUGCAUACAAAAACCCGAAAAAAGAAAAGACACUUCAAAAUCUUACAAGUCCUUCAAUGUGGUAAGCCCUGCAAAUGUUUGUGGUAACUCCCCAGUGAAGUUGUUUGAGGUAAGAAGUCUUCAACAACGAAAAACACAACCAAACCAAUAAACCCACCAGCGUUAAUAAUAAAAAAAAACGGUAACACCCAUAAUUGGCAAAAUCUACAAACAAAAGGGUCUUACAUUCUCUCUAUACUGGGCAGAUUCCCAAGCUCCUGAGGAAGAACCCCUGAAAGCUGAUUGAACUCCACGGUUCUACGCAUAUCAAAUCCAAAAUUUUUGCAUCAAAAAAAUAAUUCUUAAAAGAUCACACACUGAAAAGGGAAACAAAUGGGUAAUUAGAAAUUCACAGGUUUGCAAGAGUAGAGAUGUUUCCAAGCUCUUUGGGAAUCGAACCCGUUAAUUGGUUUCCGAUCAGAGAACUGCAACAACACCCACAUACCAAAUUAAAAAAAAAUAAAAAAUGAACUGCUUAAAGGUUCAUAUUGAAUAAGCCAUCAAAAUUUCAACCAUAUAUACAUAGAUGGAGAGAAAGCAUACAUGUUUACUAGUUGCAUUGUACCCCAUUCUGGAGGGAUUGAACCGUUGAGGUAGUUGCGGGUGAAGUCACUGUGACGGAGAUGAAUUACAGUUAAGUUAGUUGAAGUCCUAAAUGGGUAAUUGAAGAAAUGGGUGAUGCCAAAAUUGGCAGAAAAAUUAAGUUAGAGAAAUACUCACAUUUCUUGGAGGUAAGGAAGCUUCACCAGCUCUGGUGGGAGAGAUCCCGGGAGAUUCUGAGUCUUGAGGACUCUACAAAGGAUAAAUACUCACGUUAACGGUUAUUAAUUAACUUAUGAUUGAUUUGUAUAUUUUUUAAUUAUUUUUCAAAUAUUCUAUAAAGAAAAAAAAAUUAGACUAGGUUGUUCCUUACAAAUUUUAAGGAAUAAUACAAGAAAAAGUACAAGAAAUAAAAUUUGGAAGAAAAUAAAAAAUUAAUUUAAAAUUAAUAAAUUAUUUUUAUAUAUUACUUCAAAUUUAUUAAGAUAUUUUACCUCUUUUAUAUAAAAGUUAAAUAAUUUUAAAAUAUAUAAAUUUUUAAUUAAUUUUAGUUAUAUUUAAAUUUUUUUAUACUUUUCAUAAAAAACUAAAUAUAAAAAAUAAAUUUUUUUUUGCAUUUAUUUUCUUUCCUUAGCAUUUUUCUCAUACCAAAUACAUUAAUAUUAACGCAUCUUUAUAUUUUUAAAAAUUAAAAACUAUUUUCAAAUAGAUUCUAAAAUUUUAACUUAGUAGAAAGCUUAACUUGAUCCAAAUACAAUUCAAGAAACUAGAUUCAUGGGGUGUUAUUGUUGUGCAUUUGUAUCGGUGUCAAAACGACCCAAUUUUUGGCUCUGGUGCCAAAGCAUUCCAGAGUGGCCUCCUCAGGAUUCGAACUCAAAACCAAGGCCCUUGUGAUUGCCCUCCUGGUACCAUCUAAGCCAAAAAUUGGGUCGUUUUAGCAUCGAUACAAAUGAGUCAAAAAUCGGGUUGCUUUGACACCGAUACAAAUGCACAACAAAAAGGUUAGCCUUUUUUUGCAACAUUUGGGUGUUGCCACCAUUUGUAUUGGUGCCAAAGUGACCCAGAGUGGCCUCCCUAGGAUUCAAACUCAAAACCAAGGCCUUUGUAGUUGCCCUAAUAAGUUAUGUAUACAUUUUUAAGUUUUAUUAUUUAUAUUAUAAUUUUAUAUGUUUAUAUUUAAAUUUCAUUAUAUCUCACUAUACAUAUUCAAUGGCCUUGAUUUAGACCAGGAUACGUAUAGCUUUGCAUUUCCCGUCCGUAUAUAUCCCCAAGGGCCCAACCUCACUUGGCUGCCGACAUAAAAAAGGUGGGCCCAUUGGACCUCAGUUCCUAAUUGGGCCGCCCACAUGAUAAGAUUCUCCUUUCGAGUUUCGUCCUAAGGCUCCUAAGUCCUAACAUCCCAGAAUGGGAUCAGUCUGAAAUUAUUGGACCUGAAGGCCAAUUUAGAAGUCAAAGUCAACACAACAAAUUGGGCCCACCCACCUAACUCAUUAUUAUAAAUAUAUAAAAUUAUAUUAUGGAAAAAUAAAAUAAAAGAGUACUUAAUAUAAUAAAUCCUUAUGAUAUUCAAAUGUCAAUAUUAAAAUGAAAUUUAUUUAUUCACUAAAUAUGGUCAUUGAUAUUACAACCUUCUUUUUAUAUAAGUUAGGUAAAUUAGGGUGGAGAGUGGAAGCCAACUAUUCCAUAUAAAGUCCUUCAAUAAAAUAUUUCACAUUAAUUUAUUUUCACAUAUAACAUAUUCUAAAAUAAUUGGAAUGUGUUUUGGUAUUAAAAAAAAUGAAAAUAGUAUGAACCAAAAAAUACAUAAAUUAUAUUACAUUAAAGUUAUAUUUGUUUCCCAUAAAAUACUAAGAAAAAAAAAGAGAAUCAAAAUGGUUUUUUAUAUUUGAUUUAACCAUAAAAAAUAUAAAUAAAUAAAUAAAUAUAAUUAAAAUUUAUCAAAAUUUUAUAUAUUUUUAAAUUAUCUAGUUUACAUAUAAUAAAAAGAAAUAAAUAAAAUGAGUUUAAAGAAGUAUGUAAAAAUAAUUUAUUAAAUUAAAAAAAAAAUCUUAACUUUUUAUUUCCUUUUACUUUUUUUCUCAAUUUUGUUUCCUCAAAUUUUUUAAGAACCAAAUAUAGGCUAAAACUUUUGUUUUUUAUUUGAAGUUUUAAUAAACUUUGAAAUAUUUUAUUUCUAUUUUUUGAGUUAUAUGGUUCAAAAUUUAUACAAAUUCAGACGUAUUUAGAUUUCAAAUUGAAAAUAAAAACUUUAUUCAUAAUCCGAUGAUUAUUGUUUGUUUUCUUAAUUGAAUUGUAAUUAAACUGACUCAAUCCUUUUAGUAACUAAAAAAAAUUGAGCAAAUAAAUAGAAGUUUAAUUAACUUACAUGCUAACAACGUGGCAAACAGUGUUGUUGGUGCAGCUACAAGUGACAGCAUUUUCCGACCCCUUCACCGGAUUCUUCGUCGCCCAACCCCACUCGCCGCCGCACGGAUCCGCACUGAAGUUCCAGUCCGUCUUCCCCAGAGUUUUCGCGAUCUCUUCCAGAGCUUCCACUGUAAAGUGUAAUAAUAAUAAGAUUGAUUUUUGAGAGUGUAUAUAUAUAUAGAACUAUGAAAAAUGAGGUAGAAUGAAUGGUAGUAUCACCUUCAUUAUUUGGGAGGAGAGUUGCAGAGAAGGUGAGAGUUGUGAAGAAAGCGAAGGCAAUGAGUAAAGAAGAGAGAAGGCUGUUAAUGGAGGGCAUGGUUUUAGGGUUGUUGCAGAGGAGGAGGGCUUGGGGUUUGGAGGAGCACUAGAUGAUGGAUGAAGAGUGAAUGCAUGAUUUGUGGUAGAGGGUCUUUAUCGUGCACGGGAGGAGAGAGAAAAAGAGAAGACUCAGGGCGAAGACUUCGAUACAUCGUUAUAUCGUACCGUACCAUGGUUAUAUCCGUACCAUGGUUAAUGAUUUUACAUUUGAUUAAUCAAAAAGCUUUUUUUUUUCCGCAAGAUAAAGUUUUUCAAAAAAUAAAUAUUUAAAACUUUUUUCAAAUUCAUAUUUAUACUGAAACAAAAACAUAAGUUCAAUGUCUUGAAAUUUUUAUAUGUGAACUUAUAUAAUCAAUAUGAUAAUAUCAUAAAUUAAUGUUAUUUUAUUUUUUGCAUUGUGAUUCAUAAUGUAGUUGAAUGCAUUAUUACUUGAUUUUUUAUGGAUUCAUCUUAAUUCACUUGACUGACUCAUCAUUAAGUCAAGUGAUCUAAAUUUUAUGUGUGUAAUGUGGUAUAUAUGAAUAUAUUUAUUUAUAUAUAUACAUAAAGGAAAAAGAAAGACUUUUGCUCUGUUUUGUUUUUCUCUUGAGGGCUGAAAGGGCACGUACUGCGAACUCGAGCACACACACGGACUGAAUUUUGGUGUAGAAAGGGAAGAGCUCAUUGAACCUGGAUUUUCACACCAUUAUGAACUGAGCGUAUUAUUUGAUACCAGUGGAACACAAAAAUGACUUUUCAUGUGAUUAAUCAAGGUAAACAUUUCAUCAAUUGCCUUUUUACUGUAUGCUUUAAUGUCAACAUGUGAUAUAUCGUUAUAUUGUACCGUAACCAUGGUUAUAUCGUAUUGUACCAUGGUUAAUGAUUUUACAUUUGAUUAAUCAAAAAGCAUUUUUUCCCCCAAAUUUUAAAGAUAAAGGUUUUAAAAAAAAAAAAAAUUUUAAAAACUUUUUUCAAUUCCACAAGUAUGUCUAGACUUCCAUAUUUAUACUAAAACAAAAACACAAUUUAUUUUCUAUCUUAUCAAGGGUGAUCAAUAUAUAUAUAUAUAUAAACACACGAUAUUUAGUAUAUUCUUUUUAUUUUAAAAUUUUAUAAUUAAUUAUAGUAAUAAAAACUGAUAAAAAGAUAAAAUUUAAUAAUUGUUGGAGACAUUAUCAUUUCAUAUUCUUCAAUUAUUUUACCUUCUAAAGUUAAACCCACUAACAUGAACAGCUCAAUUCAUUUAUAUAUUUCUUGGAUUCACCACUGAAAAUACCCCAAAAAAAAAAAAAAAAAUUCACAAGACAACGGAUUUACAGGCCAUGGAUUGCUGGUGACAGCUCAAGUUUGCUUCAUAGUCAACUCAAUACAAUUUUAUUUUAUUUUUCAAUAUAAUAUGGCCAUGUGGUGAAUAUCCUAUGCAGCAAGAAGUUGGUUCUCAUUUUCUAAGACUUUCUCACCAGCCAAACAUUGUGUAAUAUCAAAGGUAUGAAUAAAAAGAAUUUUCUUCUUUCUGAGUUUUUUUUAAAUCCAAGUUGAGGAAGUUGACUUGGGGAAUAAUACCAAGUUGCAAUGCCGUAGCAAAGAAGAUAACAAUUUUGAAAUUAUCGUCUCCUUCAAGUCUUUGUCACCACCAAACCUAUGGAUUUUCAGAUAAAGUUCUGUACUUAUUGAUUAAGUUAAGUCAUGUUGACAAAUUAGUGGUCAUCAAGUACAAGUUCCUUACACUUUCAUAUAGGUUUGUACUUUUUUUUUCUUUCUAAUAAUUAAAAUUAAUUUUUGGAUCAUGGGAAAUUAAAUGGAGGAAAAGGACCAAAAGGCCAAAAAUAAUUUAAAUUUUUUUAUUUAAUUUAUUGUUAAAAAUAUGAAAAAAAAAUCAAAUAAAAUAAUAAAUAGUUAUAUUUUCAAGUACUACAUUUAAAAAGUAUAUGAAAACUUUAAUUUUAUCAUAAGAAAAUGUUAUUUAUUUUAAUUUUUAAGGUGGUAUUUAUAUAUUAGGAAAUCUUUUUCCUUUUUUCUUUUUAAUAAUAUUUAAAACAAGUCCUCUAAAAUCUAGAUUUUUUUCUUUCAUAAAAUUGGAGUGGGUGUAUAAUAUCAUCUUUCCAUGAAAAGGGAUUCAAAGAAGGUGUGUGAACUUUUGUAUUUUAGCUUAAUAGAAUGAAGCAGCCACCCUUUGUUGACGAAGCUAAAUCUUUCUAUUGUAGGCUUCUAGCUAUACAUUAAAAUAUAUAUAUACAUAUAUAAAAGAGAAAAAGUAAUCAAGGGUAAAAAAUGUGUUUAAAAAAUAUUUUUUUUAUUUAAUCAAUUAUAUUACAUUAAAUAUUAAUAUAAUGUAAUAUAUUUAACUAUAUGUUAUAUAAUUAUAAGCUGUUGUGGCUCACUCGGAAGUUUAUGAUAGACUUAUUUACUUAAUAUGACUUAAUAGUUUAAUUUAAAUUAUUAAAUAUAUUAAGUAUAUUAGAAUAAUAGUUUGAUAUCUCCUUCUAACUUGUUUUCAAACUAAGAAACAUAUCCAUUAAUCCAAAAGUCUCUUUGACGAACAAUCUUCAAUGCUUUUAUACAUUUAUAAUACCUGAGGUGUUGUCUAAAUAUAAUUUUACUGAAAAUUAUGACUUUGACUUUAUCUUCGAUUAAAAAACUAUCUCAACUAGGUUAAGAAAAGAGCAUCAAAGCCACAAAAUCUGUAGAGAAACUAAAGAUGCCAAAAACCGAUAAAUGAGCACAAAUGCUUCAUAGAUUGAUGAACAAGCCUUUCUUUCAUACACAACUCAGAAACAUAUAUCCCAAACAUACAUCUUUGAUAAAAUUGAUAACUUUUUUCUGUAAAACCGUAUGGAUUACAGGACAUGAAAAUAUUUACAAAUUCAAAGAAAUACUAUCCACCCACCUACAUAAAUGGUGUCAAAGAAGAACAUAAAGAAGAAUUGAAAACCAACAUUUAAUCUCUGUUCUCCCAAUAUUCAAAAUCCAAGGUGACUGGGUAGAGAUCAGGGAUGGAUAAAGAAGCAGUCCAUGGCCUGUCUGGCAUGCUCUCGCUCACACCCAUGAUCUUUUCUUGGGUGUAGUAAUAAUGCUCCUUCAUCUCCUCGAGCUUUAAGUCAUCACUAGGAACACUGGGAUCAGAAACAAUGUCCUGAACAGUGGUUCUGCCUUCAAGCAUGCUCACAACUGAUGACAUAGCUGGCCUGACUGCUGGAGAGACCUUUGUGCUCAAGAGAGCUAUGUUGAUCAUCGCCAAGACCUCUUCCUUGUUGAAGUCUGAGCCCAAUCUGGGGUCAACUAGAUCCAUCAAAUUCCCCUCCCCUUUUAAUGAGAGUGCCUAGAAAUUAAGAAAGAAAAAGAGAGCUUGUGUUUAAAUCAAGCCAUAUGGACUCAGGUGGUAAGACUCUAUUUGUUUCAACAUAUGCUGAAUGAAGCCAUGGAAAUGUCACAACCACAUUGAAUGAGUUUAAUAUUUGGUAUGUGAUGAAUGGAAUGUGCCCAGCUAGCCUGCUACCCAGAAAGAGGCAUGCUAAUAUAGGGGUUUGCUCACAGUGAUCAAGGAAGGUCCCAAUGACGUCUUAUUGCUAAUACAGUAAUAUCACACAAUUUGUAUAAUUGAAGUCAUUCAGGAUGGGAGCAUAUACUACCUGCUUCUUCGUUUAAGGUUGAAAAGGAAGCAAUGCAUGUAAGUAUUAGUAGUAUUGGGGCAAUUUCGAUUUGUCUGAGAAAAUUUUUGAUCAAGAGAGUCUAUUUGAUUCAUAUAGCAUCAUGAACUAGGAAAAUGGUCCAAGGGAUGCCAUGAAUCAGAAUAUAACUUCAGCCCAAGAUAGGAAAAUGUAGUUGCCAUGAUGUGGUGACUAUAUUUUUAUAUAUAUAAUUCAAGAGCCAUGGUUAGGGAUUCAUGAUUCGGAUCCUAUUCACUUCCACAUUGAUCAGGCUGGGAAAGCAGCCAGUCCUUGGUCGGUUCUAGUUAAGUUGCUUUACUCAACAGAUUGGCAAAAACAGCAGCAUGACCCGCGACUGUUAUGUGGAACUGCCCAUUUCAAAAUGAGGUUAAAGCAUGUCUUUUGGCUAUAGGAAGUGUUAGACAGAACUAGUGUGAGGGGAUAAAUUUAUUCUCUGGGUUCUCAACAGGUUUUACAGCUUGUAGUUUGAAUGAUGAAGCCAUUCAUCCUUGACGAUGCUUCCCGACACAAAUAACAAAUCAUGCUGUUAAGAAUGAGAAAAUUCAGAGAUGACAUAUGCAAGAAAGAAUGUUGUCGAAAUUACCCAAUCAAGAAGAUAGAUGCAUUCCUCUUUUGGCCUAUAAGUAGUGUUUCUUCUUCCACUGACAAUUUCCAAGGCAACAAUUCCAAAACUGUAAACAUCUGCUUUGUCAGUUAAAUAGCCCCGAAAUGCAUAUUCAGGUGCCAUAUAUCCACAGCAAAAUGAGGGUAUGAUUUUACACAAAUUUUCCAUUUGCAUGAAGGAUCAACACUGGUGAUCAAAAGCAAAAAUUUCUAGGAUGUGGUUUCCAAAGUGAUAUCAGUAUCACUGCUUCCUAUUUGAGCUAAACGGAAAGAUAAAUAAUGAUACUGAAAUUAUCACAGCCAUAAAGAUCUGGAUUACCUGAAUUCUGAAAGAGUAAGAAACCAUUGACAUCCAUUCAAAAGAAAGAAAAAGCCCAUUAACUAAAAAUCAGGAGACAGUGACUCACAAUGCACCAGCAUUCCGGGUGCUAAUGUGGGUGUUAUCCUCUUCAUCAAGUUUGGCCAAACCAAAGUCAGAUAUUUUGGGGUUAAGAUUCUUAUCAAGCAGCACAUUUGUGGCCUUGAUGUCUAGGUGGAUGAUCUUCAGCCUUGAUUCUUCAUGAAGAUAAGCCAACACUCUUGCUAUGCCAACACAGAUCCUGUGCCUAGUUGGCCAAUCCAAUUGUAAUUGACAUUCUUCGGGGCCUAAAUCAUCAUAUCAACCAAAAGUUAGAUGUAAGAAGCACUCAAAUCACACAAGUUCAUAUACAUGUAGUUUUAUAGCAGAAGCAAUUGAGCAAGGCACGUAAGCAGAUGUGAAAAAAACAGACCAAACAAAGCACGAGCGAGGCUGUUAUUCUCCAUUUACUCAUAUAUCAGCAACAACUGAUUUCCUUCUAUACAACAGCCAUAGAGCUUCACAAGAUGAGGAUGUUGAAGAGCAGAAAUCAUGCCUAUCUCAUUCACAAACUCACGGUUUCCUUGUUUUGACUUGGAAGAAAGCUGCUUCACUGCAAUUACGGUGCCAUCCGAUAAGAGGCCCUGCAUUUGAGAAAUAGUGUCUUCACUUCAGUAUAAAGUUUUAUGAUAACAAACUGCUUAAUGAACAGCUUAAAUGCAUAAAAUGAGGGAAAACUAAUUAUUGUGCUGAAUACCUUGUAAAUAGAACCAAAUCCAACUUCUCCAAUUUUGUUGGCAGCAUCCAAGUUGUUUGUGGCAGCCUUAAUUUGCCUUAGGGUAAACAAACCAGUGUGCUGAUCUAGACCCUUUAAAUCUGUAGAAGAAGCCAAGUUAGAUAAGAAAUAUAUCUAAAAAAAACUUGCAAUUAUUUCUACAUUCCUAAUAGUUUUAGAAGGAUUUUGAUGGAUUAUAACUGUAUCUUCUGUAGGGACCCCUCCCCCUGAUGACACGUGGCACAUACUUCCUGGUGACACAUGACACGUAUUCUCAUCCGGAUUACCCAAUCCGGAUUUCCCCAAGAGUACAUGUGGCGCGCUUCUCCUAUCCGGACUUCCUCAUGGUGAAGCACACGACACUCGCAAAUAUCACAUCCGGACGACUGACAUAUCCUAUCCGGGUAUGUUUGUCCGGAUCAUUGACUGAAGUAAGCAAGUCUUGCACGUCUUCACAACAGCCUGCCAUGACCCACGUUCCGCUACCUGCAGAGUGAAAGGACAAGAAUGAAGUGACGGCAAGUCACUUCCCAUGAUCUAUGACAGCCGCCGCGCUUCCCACAAUCUCUGUCAGCCGCUCGUAGGGUGAUGAUGGUCUUGCCACCACCUAGUGGCAUCAUGAUAAGCCAAAAUAUCUCUCUACCAUUAAAGAGGGAAACAAAGCUUCUGGUACUAUAUGUAUGAACCUUCACAUAAAAAGAAAGGUAAGCUUGCGAUACUUAGUAAAAGACCAACUGGUUUAUCUUUCUUUCCAUGGCUGACAAAACCGUCGGAGGGUGUGUCCGGACACCCUGUCCGGACGCCUUUUGCAGGAACGACUGAACCAGGAACUUAUAUUGGUUGAGAUCGUGCGUCCGUCCAUUUGGCAACUACGUGGAUCACCAGGGACGUGAGGCCUCAACAUCUUCUACAUCCAGAGAAAUCAACCCUGAUCAGAUACCAUGUUUUAGCAUGAAUGCCAGCAACCCAAUCCAUUGCUACAACAUCAACAAUGAAAUGUUUUGAUAUACAACAUUUUUCAUAAUCAAUACCUUGUUCCAAUGUAUCUUUGCGCCUUAGGCAGCCUCUCCACCAAAGGAUACCGAUAACCAGGAAGAUAAGAAGAAUGACUCCAGCCACAAUGCCAACCACAACGCUCACAGAUAUACUAGUACUGCCAUUUCUGGAAGGAGGUAUAAAAUCUGCAAUAAGAAAACAGGGUUAGAACAGAUACGCAGAUGGAAUGGAAGCUUUUAGGCAAAUGAUGGCACAAAGAAAAACAAAAUCGAACCAUUAGUAAUGCUGCAACAAGAGACUAAUCACAAAAAAUAUUUUAUCAACAUUAUUCUUCAGAGUCAAAGUCAAAUAAACAUGAAAAGAUGCUCAAACUGUUGGCAAAUUUCAGAAGAGCAACACAUAAAGAGCGAUGAAAUUUCCAAUGAUAUAGGUAGCAUCAAAGAAGAAUCAUUUGAGAUUCCAUAUAUAUUAAAACAGAGUUGUGCCAAACCCUUCAAAAAAUAAUGAAUCAUGUCCAUGUUGGUUCCAAGUGCCCUAAAGAAAAGAGGAGUUGCGCAGACUGAACCAAGUCACUAAACUAAAAAAAUGUGUAAUUUGAGAAGUAGAAGAACAAUACCCUUUUGCAUACCAACUAUUCAAAAUUGUUGAACUACCAAUUUUCCUAAAUGUUUAAGCUUAAGCUCCCUCAUGUGUGGUCCCAUGCCCACAGGUGGAGGAACAAACAAAAUCUGGAUUCAUAUCCCAAUAGACAAAGAUAGACAAAAUUUGGAUUCAAACAAACAAAGGAAAUGCAAUCUGAUACUCUAAUUAUUAAAAAGCUACUAAAAAAACAUAGACAACAAUAAUGAAUAAAAAGUAAAAGUAGUUCGGAGUUAUUACCAUUUAAUGAUAUUUAUAUAAGUAAUAAUUUGAGUUUAAUAAAUAUUAUUUUUACGUUAGAAUACAUGAAAUUCGAAUGAUUUUUUUAGAGGGUUUUUUUAUUAUUAUUAUUAUUUAAAAGUGUGGACUAAACAUGCUAUUUCCAUAAAAUAUAAAUGGGUUUUCUUUGAAAAGGAUUUAUUCUUUCAAAGUGAAAAUUAGUUUGCAUUUUGUGAGAAAUAUUCCUUGAAAAUGCCUAUAAAUCCAUUCACUCCACACUGAACCAGGUAUUGCACGCACCACGAGGAACCAAGAACCAUACCAACACACAAAUCAUAGAGAGGAGGAACCAAUACACAACUCAUGGAGAGAGAGAGAGAGAGAGAGAGAGGAUUUACCUCUGCAAAGCACAGCCCUGGGGCUGCCAUCUGAACUUGAGAUGCAAAUCAUCCAUACGCACAUUCCUCUGGCAAUUGAACUCCCUCUCUAUGAAUGGGCAUUCCUCCGCCUUGUACAGAGGAUAUGUCUCAUCCCUAACCCAUAUCCCUUGAAAAAAAUCACACUUCUCCCCACUCCCAACCGCAUUUCCAAUACAGACAACAACAACAACAAAAAUGAACAAAACACCCUGAACCCAUGAACCCAUUUCUCAAUCUCAAGCUCCCCAAGAGAGAGAAACAGAGAUGGGUUUUGUGUGGAAUUCUACUCUAGUAAAGACCCAUUUCCCAUGUCUCAAGAUUUCUAUUUAAUAUAUAGACAAAAGAAGGAGGAUGUAGAAAGAGAGUAAUGUUUCAUUGUGGGUAAAUGAGGAAGUGAUUUGUCUCUGUUUUUCAAAAUAGGAAAGGAGAACUUUGGGUGUGUUGUCAUGUAUGGUCACAAUGGUGUGAUAAUAUAUUAAUAUGUACAGGAGAUGCCCUGGAUAAUAAGGUAUCAUGUGGACUUUUGACCAAAACUCAGCCAAUGAGAGGCCCUUGGUUGGUUUGGUUUUCUCCAUGGGAUAACUACUUUUUCUUUCUUUUUUCAUUUUUGGAUUUCUUAAAUUUUUUAAUUCACGUAACUAUGAGUCCUUCGAUAGUGUCAAAUUGAUACCUACCAAAAAUUAAACCAAUCUUAAUAUACCACUUUUAUAAUUUUAUCUCAGAAUUUUGUAAUUCACUUACAUUUCGUUUAUUUGUAAUCAGUCUCAUACUCAUUUGCUCCAUUAAUGGCUUCUAGGUCCAUGCUUGUCUUCUUCCUCUUGUUCAACCACUUAUGUCAUCUUUCUUCCUUUAACUAUGUUUUUUAUUUUUUUUAUUUUUAUUUUAUUGAAUUUGAAUUAAAGUGGGGAAGAAGAUGGGAUAAUUUAUUUAUUUUUUAACUUCACAGACCUAUUUUAUUAAAAAUUUAAAAAGAAAAUUGUAAAAACUUAAAGAUUUGUCCAAAUGGAAUUUACUCAUUUGAUUCUCUUUUUAAAUAUUUAUGCCAAAAAAGGGUUUCUAACUCUAGACAAAAUUAUCCUACUUCUAAGCCUUAUAAAAACAAUUAGAGAGAGAGAGAGAGAGAGAGAGUUUUUUUAUUUUAUUUUAUUUAUCUACUCGAUAAUGAUUUGUCAUAUUAUUAGAUGAUACAAAUUGAAUAUAAAAAAAAGAGAAGUACAAUUUGCCUUAAUUGAAAAGUUUUUUGGUUGACUAUCCUAAUCUAUGGUUUGGAGGCAUCGAUGAAGGAUUAAUGGCUCUAUCACUAAAUUCAAUAGAUGGAAUGGAUAAACGAUUUUUUUAUUAUUAUUAUUAAUUAACCAUGAUUCUGCCAUGGUUGGUAGUUUGUCUAUUCUUUUUAUAUGAAGUGUAAAUAAGUUUCAAUUUGUCUAAAAUUUAAAUAAAAAUUGAUGUAAAAUAGUAAAAGCAUCAUCCAAAUCUUAAAUUUCAAAGAAAAGUUAAAACCUUAUCAGACUAUCAAUUUGGAUUGCCUCGUGUUUUCAAUAUAUAAAAACCUUGUUUGAUAGUCAUGAGUGUAAUCAUGUCCCAAAAUAGUUUUAGAGUUGUAUUAAGAAUAUGUUUUGCAGUGAUUUUAGAAAGCGUUUAUAACAUUUCUAACAUUUAAAUGAUAAAAAUUUUCAAGUAUUAAAAAUAUCAAAAGCGCUUCCUAAAAUCAUUAUCAAACGAACUCUAAAACACUAUUAUUGUUUUCAUCAUUUUUUCAAUUUUGUUUUCCAAAACUUGUAUACAUAUUUUUAAUAAAUCCAAUUAGAUAAGAGCAUAUGUUUUCAAAUAUUUACAUUAUUUUUACAUUCAAAUACAAGUUUUGAAAGUCGUUCUUUUGGUCUAAUUAAUUGUUCAUGCAUAGCAAGACUAAGUUCCUGUUUGGAUUUGCUUCCAACUAGCCCAAUCAGGUUGAACAUUCAAGAGGAAGAAUGAAUUGGGUAUCAGUCAAUUUUUCUACUAGACUAGAUAAUUGAUAAAAUUAAAGAUUAAAAUAAAUGUCAGACAACAAUUGGAAUAAAAUACGAGUAAAAAUGAAAUAUUCACUCGUUCUAACUUCUUUCUGAGCUUAGAAAUAUAUCCAUUAAUCCAAAAGUCCCUUUGACCAACACUCUUUGAUGAAUGAACACAAAAGCUUCACAGUUUGAUGAACAAGCCUUUCUUUCAUACACAACUUAAACAUAUUUCCCAAACAUACAUUGUUUAUCAAAUUGAAAACUUUUGUCUGUAAAACCUAUGGAUUACAGGACAUGAAAAUAUUUAUACAAAUUCAAAGAAAUGCUAUGCACCAGCCUUCAUAAAUGGUGUCAAAGAAGAACACAAAGAAGAAUUGAAAGCCAACAUUUAAUCUCUCUUCUCCCAAUAUUCAGAAUCCAAGGUGACUGGGUAGAGGUCAGUGAUGGAUGAAGAAGCAGUCCAUGGCCCGUCUGGCAUGCUCUGAGCCUUGCUCUCGCUCACAUCCAUGCUCUUUUCUUGGAUGUGGCGAUAAUGCUCCUUCAUCUCCUUGAGCUUUAAGUCAUCACUAGGAGCACUGGGAUCAGAAACAAUGUCCUGAACAGCAGUUAUGCCUUCAAGCAUGCUCACAACUGAUGACAUAGCUGGCCUGACUGCUGAAGAGAUGUUCGUGCACAAGAGAGCUAUGUUGAGCAUUGCCAUGACCUCUUCCUUGUUGAAGUCUGAGCCCAAUCUGGGGUCGACUAGAUCCAUUAAGUUCCCCUUCUCUUUUAAAGAGAGUGCCUAGAAGUUGAGAAAGAAAGAAAAUCCAAUAAGAGAAUUGCUUGUGUUUAACUCAAGCAAUAGGGACUCAGGCUGCAAGACUAUUUGUUUCAACAUAUGCUGAAUGCAGCCAUGGAAAUGUCACAACCACAUUGAAUGAGAUCAAAAUUUGAUAUGUAAUGAAUGGAAUAUGCCCAGCUAGCCUGCUACCCAGAAAGAGGCAUGCUAAUAUAGGAGUUUCAUCAGAGUGGUCCAGGCAGGUCCUGGAUAAUGUCUUAUUACUAAUACGGUAAUACCACACAAUAUAAUUGAAGUCAUUCAGGAAGAAAGCAUAUACUACCUGCUUCUUCAUUUAAGGUUGAAAAGGAAGCAAUACAUGUAAGUAUUAGUAGUAUUGGGGCAAUUUCGGUUUGUCUGAGCAAAUUUUUGUUCUUGAGAGCCUAUUUAAUCCAUAUAGAGUCAUCAUCUAGGAAAAUGGUCCAAAGGAUGCCAUGAAUCAGAAUAUAACUUCGGCCCAAGAUAGGAAAAUGUAGUUGCCAUGAUGUGAUGACUAUAUAUUUUUAUAUAUAUAAUUCAAGCCAUGGUUAGGGGUUCAUGAUUCGGAUCCUAUUCACUUCCACUUUGAUCAGGCUGGGAAAGCAGCUAGUCCUUGGUCGGAUCUAGUUAAGUUGCUUUACUCAGCAGAUCUGCUAAAACAGCAGCAUGACCUGCUACUGUUAUGCAGAACUGCCCAUUUCAAAAUGAGGUUAAAGCAUGUCUUUUGGCUGUAGGAAGUGUUGGACAGAACCAGUGUGAGGGGAUAAAUUUAUACUCUGGGUUCUCAACAGGUUUUACAGCUUGUAGUUUGAAUGAUGAAGCCAUCCAUCCUUGAAGAUGCUUCCCGACACAAAUAACAAACCAUGCUGUUAAAAUUAUGCAAUCAGCCUAAAUGGAUAAGAAUGAGAAAAUUCAGAGACGACAAAUGCAAGAAAGAAUGUUGUCAAAAUUACCCAAUCAAGAAGAUAGGUGCAUUCUUCUUUUGGCCUAUAAGUAGUGUUGCUUCUUCCACUGACAAUUUCCAAGGCAACAAUUCCAAAACUGUAAACAUCUGCUUUGUCAGUUAAAUAGCCCCGCAUUGCAUAUUCAGGUGCCAUAUAUCCACUGCAAAAUGAGAGUAUGAUUUUACACAAAUUUUCCAUUUGAAAUGAAGGGUAAACACUGGUGAUCAAAAGCAAAAAAUUCUAGGAUGUGGUUUCCAAAGUGAUAACAGUGUCACUGCUUCCUAUUUGAGCUAAACGGAAGAUAAAUAAUGAUACCGAAAUUAUCACAGCCAUAAAAAUCUGGGUUACCUGAAUUCUGAAGCAGUAAAAAACCAUUGACAUCCAUUCAAAAGAAAGGAAAAGCCCAUUAACUAAAAAUCAGGAGAUAGUGACUCACAAUGUACCAGCAAUCCGUGUGCUAAUGUGGGUGUUAUCCUCUUCAUCAAGUUUGGCCAAACCAAAGUCAGAUAUUUUGGGGUUAAGAUCCUUAUCAAGAAGCACAUUUGUGGCCUUGAUGUCUCGGUGGACGAUCUUCAGCCUUGAUUCUUCAUGAAGAUAAGCCAACCCUCUUGCUAUGCCAACACAGAUCCUGUGUCUAGUUGGCCAAUCCAACUGUAAUUGACAUUCUUCAGGGCCUAAAUCAUCAUAUCAACCAAAAGUUAGAUGUAAGAAGCACAAUCGCACAAGUUCACAUACAUGUAGUUUUAUAGCAGAAGCAAUUGAGUAAAGCACAUAAGCAGAUGUGAAAAAUACAGACCAAACAAAGCACGAGCGAGGCUGUUAUUUUCCAUGUACUCGUAUAUCAGCAACAACUGAUUUCCUUCUAUACAACAGCCAUAGAGCUUCACAAGAUGAGGAUGUUGAAGAGCAGAAAUCAUGCCUAGCUCAUUCACAAACUCACGGUUUCCUUGCUUUGAUUUGGAAGAAAGCUGCUUCACUGCAAUUAUGGUGCCAUCGGAUAAGACGCCCUGCAUUUUGAGAAAUAAUGUCUUCUCUUCAGUAUAAAGUUUUAUGAGAACAAACUGCUUACUGAACAGUUUAAAUGCAUAAAAUGAGGGAAAACUAAUUCUUGUGCUGAAUACCUUGUAAACAGAACCAAAUCCACCUUCUCCAAUUUUGUUGGCAGCAUCAAAGUUGUUUGUGGCAGCCUUAAUUUGCCUUAAGGUAAACAAACCAGUCUGCAGAUCUAGACCCUUUAACUCUGUAGAAGAAGCCAAGUUAGAUAAGAAAUAUAUCUAAUAAAAAGUUGCAAUUAUUUCUAAAUUCCUAAUACUUUGAGAAGGAUUUUGAUGGAUUAUAACUGUAUCUUCUAUAUCCAGAGAAAUCAACCCUGAUUAGAUACCAUGUUUUGGCAUGAAUGCCAGCAAACCAAUCCACUGCUACGACAUCAACAAUGAAAUGUUUUGAUAGACAAAAAUUUUCAUAAUCAAUACCUUGUUCCAACGUAUCUUUGCGCCUUAGGCAGCCUCUCCACCAAAGGAUACCUAUAACCAGGAAGACAAGAAGAAUGACUCCAGCCACAUGGCCAACCACAAUGCCAACAGAUUUACUACUGCUUCCAUUUUUGGUAGGAGGUAUAAAAUCUGCAAGAAGAAAACAAAGUUAGAACAGAUACGCAGAUGGAAUGGAUGCUUUUAGGCAAAUGAUGGCACAAAGAAAAACAAAAUCCAACCAUUAGUGAUGCUGCAAAAAGAGACUAAUAACAAAAAAUAUUUUAUCAACAUUAAUUCUUCAGAGAGUCAAAGUUAAAUAAACAUGAAAAGAUGCUCGAACUGUUGGAAAAUUUCAGAAGAGCACCACAUACAGAGCAAUGAAAUUUCCUGUGAUAUAGGUAUCAUCCAAAUAUAUAUAUAUAUAUAUCAAAACAUAAUUGUGCUAAACCCUUCAAAAAAUAAUGAAUCAUGUCCAUGUUGGCUCCAAGUGACCUAAAGAAAAGAGGAGUUGUGCAGACUGAACCAAAUCACUUAACUACAAUAAAUGUGUAAUUUGAGAAAAAGUAGAAGAACAAACCCUUUUACAUCCCAACUAUUCAAAAUUGUCGAACUACUAAUUUUCCUAAAAGCUUAACCUCACCCUCCUUUACUACCCACAUGUGGAGAGACAAAUAGAAUUUGGAUUCAUAUCCAAUGGACAAAAAUAGACAAAAUUUGGAUUUUUAUUCAACAAACAAAUAAAGGAAAUGCAAAUUGCAGAGAGAAGGAUCAAACCCAGGACCUUCCCCCAAACCAAGCUUUGAAAUCAUGUUCAACUACCAAUUUUCCUUAAAGCUUAAGCUUGUAGGAUUUGGGCUCAAUAUGCAUAUCAUGCUCUUUAAUAAAAAUGAUAAAGAAAAUUCAUAAAACAAGCUCAGAAAAUGUGUGACAUACCAGGGUCCACAGAAAUAGCUGAUAUAAGAGGACCAUAAACUCCUCUAACUGGGAUACCUGUAGUCCCUUUCCCAGCCCAAUAGAAGCGAAUUUCCAAGGUAUUAUUAGUCACAACAGCAGUAAAAUAUUUUAUGAUUUCCUUGCUAACACCCCCUGCAUCAUCCUCAAUAUCGAAAUCCUUGAGAACCAGCUCAUCCUGCAACAAACCACUCCAAUUACAACUGAAAUUUUCAAGGUGCUAUAAAUUGAAAUGGUGUCCCAAGAUUUCUCUAAAACUUUGCACAAAAAAGUUGAAUUUUUAUAUAGGCUGAAGUCAAGAACUCAAAAUGGCCUGAAUCCAAAUGCUAAAGUUUCUUAGUACUUUUUAAAAUUAGAACUUUGGUUGGUGAACAUGGAAGUAAUGUGAUUCAUUACCUGAACAUAAACAUCAAACAAACGCCUUCCAAGGCUGCUAUAUGUUUUGUCAUCAGUAAAGGUGAUCUCUGCAAAGUGAAGCUUUACUGUGUAGUUUCCAUUUUCCAGACAGAAUCCAUAAUAAGUGAGAGACAGGGCGGAGAGACGUGCGGUUGUAUACAGUCCAGAAUUUUCCAUGGUGAGUCUAGACACAUUUGUCCCAAUAAAGGAGUCUGUAGGACGGUCAUCGUCCAUGAAGUGACCUGUGCUGCUGAAUGCCCAGUUUGUUCUACUCUGAUAGAACUUUGAUGGUCCACCAGAAUCUGUGUCAUCUUCAUAUGUGGUAUUUCCAUCAACGAUUACUUCUUUUCCACCACAAUUUAUGUGCAUGGAGUAAAACUCUGGAAAAAAAACCUACAAUAGAUUGGUGAAAUUGAACAAGCGAAGAAAAAGGAUAUUUAGUAAAAGGUACAAGAAAAUACAUCCAUCAACCACCCUUCCCAAACUUUUACUUUAAUCAGCAAACUUGUGACAUUGUUUUGGACUGUAUACCAAUCCAUUUUUAAUAGACCAUGUGAUCCAACGGAAAGAUUUCAACCCCAAAUGCAUUAGCAGUACCCUAAAUGCACAGGGCAAAGCACAAGAAAGGAGAAUGCCUAUCUUGAAGAGAUUUUGAGACACGGUGUACUGAAAUGUGGGUCCUCUACAAAGCUGGUCUGAUCAGUGUUUUAUCAACACUAGAAGCACAAAUUUUGAUUUGAAGCUUAAUCAGACUCAUCUCAAGUUAUGGAAAGUGAAAUUGAUGACAUUCUAAAAUCCCUUUAUAUUCUUCCAUUAAUUUCAUUCUUUUGUAUUUCUUAAUUAACAAUGUCAAGAUAGCAUAUGAUAUUUAAACUUACUUUUUGGGCAAUUAAAGCUUCUCAAGCACGAGACAAUUCCACUGAGAAAACAACGUAAUGCCCAGCAAAAGUCAGCAUCACAACAUCAUAUUUGAAUAUUACAUGACAAGGAAAGAAUCGUAGUGCUAAAGAAAAUUAUUGGCUUCAGAAAACAUUUAUCUAUUAAAAUCCUUAAAAUGGUAAUUAGAAACUCACAAGUUAUUUCCUCCUGAUGAGCUUCCAAAUAAAUUUCUGUAGAAAAUAUCACAAUCUUGAAAGUUUAUGCUAGACAGAUGAUUUUACACAGCGAAUAAUACAGAAAAGAAAUAUCUUAUGUUAGAUAAGAGUAUUCUUACACACUCCGUUCUUGACAUCCUCUUGAGCUUUCACUAGUAAAGUUAUUGUAUGAAAGAUCACUGCACCCAUUAUUCACAGUUUAAUUCAUCAUAGUUUUCCAUGCAGAAUGAACAUCAAGUUAAUAAAUCAUGAAUACACAUGAACAGAAAUUGCAUACAUAGUAUUUGAUUAUCUGAACCUUAUUUCUAAAUAACCCAAGAGAUGAAGUGUCUUGUGCCAUUAGCUAUGCAACACACAACCAAUAGCUCAGUUGUUCCUUUAGGAGUGGUCCUAAACCACUUUGAGCUAUAGUGCAAAGAACUAUUCCCCCAAGCCUAAAAUACUCUACAAUCCAUCUAUCCAUCCUCACAUAUCACCCUCCUUUUUGUCUAGAAUCCAAGUUACAUGCAAAAGGGAGCGGAAAUAUGACUUAUUGCUUUUUGUGGCAAGAGUUUUCAAUGUGCAACUGCUGUUUGUGUAAAGGAAUGAGGAAAUCGUGUGUUGCAUGAAAAAUUCUGUAUUAUGUCUUCUCGUACAAAGCAUGGACAGUUUUCAUCAGAUUCCUUAAUAGCACAGAAUAAAAGAACAAUUAUCUCUUCCAAAUUUUAGAACUAACAGAAUGUUUGCUACCCAAAUAUUUGAAAUAUUAAUCGAUAAUCAGAAUUCAUGGCGAAACAUAGAAUCAACAUUCAAAGCCAAAUUUAUUUGCUGUAAGGAUGCAAGUGUAUGCCCAUUAAAACUAAUAAAAAAAAAUAGAAGCAAGAAAGUAAUAAAAGCAAAUUGAUGGUUAACAUGUGAUGAGUAGAAACAAACAAACAUAGCCACAACAAUAUAUAAAGCAUUUGAGAAAAAAAUUUACUAGUUGUCUCCUCUUUUCAGCAUCCAAUCAGGCACGGCUCCAGUUAGCAUGUUUCCGGUAAAAUACCUACAUAACAUUGAGUUGUCCAACUUUAGUAUUGCUCAAGUAGUUUUCUUCACUAGAGUAACAUCUAAAGCAUGAUAGGAAAAACUUACUAGUAAUUCCCCCUUCAAGGACCAAAAUUAGUUUUCAAUCAAUCAGAAUGAAUUCAUCUGUCAAUUGGCUCUUUAUUCAGAAGGCUUUUAAAGCCAACAUAUGUGAUUUAGUCACUCAAUCAAUUUGAUCCUAGGCUCUAAAAUCUCCUGGUUCAUUUAGGCAAUUAACUUGGUCUUUUAGAUUAACCUUUACUUGUAGCUCAUUGGACUUCUUUCUUCAUUUAGACCAUUAAACUCAUCUUUCAGAUUCAGUAGUGAAGCCCAACCAAUGUGGUUUAGUCUUAAAAUCAAUUCAACUCCACAUCCUCGAAGCUUUCUUGGUUCAUUUAGGCCAUUAAAUUGGUUUUUCAUUUCAGUCUGUCAAUUAUUAGGUAAUUUCACCCCUUGGAAUCAGCUUGAAUAGUUGUCAAAACCUAAAGAAGAAAUGUUUAUAUGAAAAUACACUGCUUACAUGUAAUCUGCAUUUGAUAGACCGACAAAGCUGCUUGGAAUUUCUCCAGUUAGUUUGUUAAAACUCAGAUCUCUGCAAGAGAAUUCAUAAACAGAAUGAAUUAAAAAUUGCUCUACCCCAAAAGAGUCAAACACCUGAGAAUGGAAAAAACAAAACCAAGAAACCGAAAUGACAUGCUGAAAUGAACAAAUAUGAAGUUUAUGGAAUUGUGUAUGCAUUUCUAAUCUGAAAAAGACCGUGUCCCCCUCCUUUCCAUAUCACUGAAUCCUCUUCAGGAGAAAUCCUCAAAUCCCUCAGCAUAUGAAACAACUCUCCUAAAGCGUCCAGCUCCCAAUCAUUAGAGUUUCUAGAGAGUCUUAUGUUCCAACCUCCUUGGCCAAGGCUAGAAUCCCACAUCUCAUUUACCGAGGCGUUCCUUUGGGCCGCCAAGGCAAACAAUUGGGGGAAAGUUUGGGACAGCGCCUCAUUGCCGCACCACUGAUCAGUCCAGAAAUUAACCUUGGUCCCCUCUCCCACUUUGAACUCUAUAUUAUCCCAACACCAAUACGACUCCUUCAAGAUGUCCUUCCAAACCCCCACCCCAAACAUUCCGUGAGCCUCAUUAGUUCUCCAACCAAAACCCUCAUAGCCAUACUUCACCCCUAUCACCUUCUUCCAAAGGAUUUCUUUUUCAAAGGCAAAUCUCCAAAUCCAUUUGCCCAACAAGGCCUUAUUCAGAAGAUCAAUCUUCUGAAUGCCUAGACACCCUCUCUCUUUUUGGGUGCACACCACCUCCCAAUUGAUUAAAUGAAUUUUUCUUUCUAGGCUUCCCCCUCCCCAAAGAAAAUCCCUUUGUAAUUUUUCGAGCCUUUUUGCAACUAACUUGGGCAUACGAAAGAAAGACAAUUGGUAAAUAGGUAUACUGGCCAAAGUGCUCUUAAUGAGGGUAAUUCUCCCGCCCUUUGACAAAUAUUGUCUUUUUCAAAGGGCAAGACUUUUUCUCAUUCUUACUUCCACCCCGUCCCAUAUAGCCGUGGUCUUGUGAUUGGCUCCCAAGUGCAGCCCCAAAUAAACAGAAGGAAGGGCCCCCACUCUACACCCUAUCUCCAUAGCCAAUUCGUCAAUGUCUUCAACCUCCCCAACCAGAAUUACUUCACUCUUAGCUAGGUUUAUUUUAAGACCAGAGGCUGCCUCAAACCACGCCAAAAUCCAGCUUAGAUAGGUAAGGUAAUCUUGCCUUGCUUCACAAAAGAUAAUAGUGUCAUCAGCAAAUAGUAAAUGGGAUACAUUCAUUUCCAUUCCCCCCCUCCCUCGAAGACUACAACCGGAAAUGAAUCCCCCAUCAACAGCCUUUUUUAAAAGCGCACUUAGCACUUCCAUACCCAACACAAAAAAGGUAGGGAGAGAGUGGAUCUCCUUGGCGUAACCCACUGGAAUUGGAAAAAUAACCUGCUGGCACCCCAUUAACCGGAAUAGAAAAAUUUGCAGUAGAAAUACACCACCAUAUCCACUCCAUCCAACGAGCCCCAAACUCCAUCUUGUGCAUGACCUUCAUGAGGAAUUUCCAAUUAAUGCUAUCAUAGGCUUUUUCAAUAUCCAAUUUACAAAUCAGCCCUUUCUCUUUACGUUUAUGCCAAAAUUCAAUCACCUCAUUGGCUAUGAGCGAGGCAUCCAAAAUCUGUCUUCCCUUCACAAAAGCAUUUUGGUCUGCAGAAACCACCUUAUCUAAAACCUUCUUAAGCCUAUUGGCUAACACUUUGGCCAAGAGCUUAUACAAUCCCCCUAGCAGACUAAUGGGCCUGAAAUCCCCAAGGUCAUCAGCCCCCCCUUUCUUGGGGAUGAAGACUAGGAAAGUAGAAUUGAGACUCUUAGCAAAGGACUUCCCAUCAAAAAACUCCUUGAACAUAUCCACAAUCUCCUCCUUCACGAAGUCCCAGCAAGAUUGCCAAAAGGCCACUGUAAAUCCAUCCGAGCCUAGAGCCUUAUCUCCAUUCAUUCCCAUCAGAGCCGCAUGAAUCUCUUCCUCAGUGAAUGGUUGUUCCAAGCCUUCAGCUUCAAUAUGGUUUAACCUUUGAAGAUUCAGCCCCUCAAUAUCAGCUUUCCAAGCUGGCUCCUCUGACAACAGUUGCUGAAAAGCAUUCACAACCCCCUCUCUCACCUCUUGCUCCUCCUCCAGCCACCUCCCAUUGAUCUUAAUCUUUUCCAUGGAAUUGUUUCUUCUAUAGGCAUUAGCCAUCCGGUGAAAGAACUCAGUGUUUUUAUCCCCUUCCUUGAGCCACAGCUCCCUAGACAGUUGUCUCUGAUGCGUUUCUUCCAAAAGCACCCAUUUUUUAAAGACUUCCUUAGCUUCUUUUUUCAACUCCGUCUCUCCUUCAGUCAGGCUCCUUUCACUCUCCACCCCAUCCCAAAAUUCUACUUGUUGAAAUGCUAAGUUUUUAUUGACUUCCAACCUUUCAAACACGUCCCUGUUCCAUCCUUUGAUUUUAUCCUUCAAGACCUUCAUCUUUGUAGCCAAUCUAAAGCUGGCCCUCCCUUUCCCCCCCGCCUCCUACCACCAACCCCGAAGAAGCUCCUUAAACCCAUCAACUUUGAGCCACAUAUUUUCGAACCUAAAUGGGGAAGGGCCCCUUCUGAUCCUUCCACCUUUCAGCAAGAUGGGAAAAUGAUCAGAGGUGGGUCUAGGAAGCCUACUCUGGACAACCCCACUAAAACAGUCAAGCCAUUCUUGGGUCACUAGAAAAUGGUCCAGUCUAGCCCAAGAUUGAUUGUUCCUGCCCCCACUCCAAGAAGCCAUCCCCCCUUGCAUAGGAAGAUCCAGGAGCUCUAAUUCGUCAACCACCUGAGCAAAUCUUCUCAUGGCGCCAGUCAGCCUACCCUCAUUACUCCUUUCCCAUUGGGAUAGGGUAACAUUGAAAUCGCCCCCUAAGCACCAAGGGUCAUCCCAGAUGCCCCUUAUAGCCCUUAACUCCCCCCAAAGAGUCUCCCUAUUUUUUUUGGAAAACGGCCCAUACACUCUUGUGAAGAUCCAGGCCUUCCCAUCUUCUACAUUCCUAAGUCUGCAAGAGAUUGAGAAUUGCCCCAUCUCCAUCUCAAGGACCUCUAGGGUUCUUUUAUCCCAGCAUAUCAGAAUCCCUCCCGCAGCUCCCUGAGCACCCAUGGCACCCCAAUCAAGGAACCUCCCAGAACCCAAACUCCUCACUAAACCCUCUGUCAUUGACUGAAUUUUCGUUUCCUGGACACAAAACAAAUCAACCUUCUGGCUUCUGAUCAUGGCCUUAAUCACUUUCCUUUUAGAGCUAUCAUUGGCUUUACGCACAUUCCAACUCAAAAGCCUUAUCUUCAUUGGACUUCCAUAGUCUGGCACCCUCUUCCUUGCACAGUACACUUUUUCUUCUUCCCCCCCUCAUAAUUGACUGAACAUUCAAGCCUUUUCGACUCUCUUUCAAAUCUCGAUUUCUCCAGCAGGACUUUACUGUGAACUCUUUCCCUCCUCUUCCUAAUUUUGACCAGGAACUCCAAGAUAUCUUUCUCUAGUCCCUCUGUCGAGAAUCCCAGAAACUGACUGAACCUAGCCAAAUCACUUUCCUCCCAGCUCGCUUCCACCCAUCCUCUUUCUUCUUGAGGCAUAGACCGGGCAAGACACAAAGCCUCUCUGCUUUCUUCCAUAUUGUCACUAUUGACCUCUAUCAUUUCCCAACACUUCCCUUCUACUUGCUCUGUAGACCCAGAACCGUUGCGCGGUCUAUGAGUAGCCCCCUGGGUUUUGUCCAAUAGAGCCCCAGUAAGGUCGAAAAACUCCCCCAAAGGAGUCCGACCAAAAAUAGAAGAGAGGGAAGAAGGAAGAUCAAAAACCACCAUUCCAGAGGAGGAAAGGGCGUUAUCAUACCUUGCAACUUCCUCCAGCAGGGCACAGUCAGUCCUAGAGGUCCCCUCCGACAAAGUCUCCUCCUCAGAAAGCCUCCAUAGACCAUCCUUCACCCAGAAAGGGGAAAUAGCAGCGUCUGGGCCCCUCAUUGGGCUUCGGCCACUCUCCACAACGGACGGCCCUCCUCUGCCUGGGCCCUAACCAUAACUAAAGAAGAUGGCCCUCGGUUGUCCAGCCCAGCCCUCUGAAAAAGCCUUGAAGUCUUGGCCCGCUCAGUGGACUUCCAAUGCGACAGCCCAGGAUCGACCGACCCAUUAACAUUUGGGAGGUCCGAUAGAGGAGCGAGCCCAGUGGGCUCAGAAGCCUUAGACCGCCGAGAGGGCUCUGCUAGGCCCAACAAUGCAAGCCCACCCAAAACUUGUGGCCCACCCGGAAGCCCGUUGACGCUCUGAAUAGGGUCCGUGACUUGCCCCGACCCGCUUGACUGACCCCACGUCCCAUCGGCAGUCAGCAGUAAGGCCUCGAGCCUCGAGCCUUCCUUCACCUCCAUCACGCACUCGCUCGCGUGUGUACAUGCUUCACCCCCAACCUCCUCUCCCGUUGCGACGACCUUCCCUCUCUUACCUGCCGUCGUCACUUUCAUAACUGGCCUGACUUCCCACCACAGAGUUACCGAGUAGCAUAACUCUUCAACCCAGACCUCCACUACAUUGGGAAGUUCCUCACCGUUCCGCUUCACCAAAAGCCGAGCCCACUGGAACUCCUCCAUUUUCUCCGUUUGGGAGUUAACCACGAGAAAUCCCUCACACGCCUCCCCUAUCCUCCUCAAGAUGUCCCGCUCCCAUAGGGAAACGGGUAAGCCUACAACCCGCACCCAGGCUUCACUGUUAUUCUCCCCUUCCCUCAGGCAUCCUGUCUCCGGCCUCCAUUUCUCCAAUCGAAGAAAUAUCCCCCCGACCGAGAUACUUCCAAGUUUAGAGGCUUGCUCUGCUUCUGUCAGAAGUUCAAACUCCAUCAAUACCUUGCCCCUCUCCAUUUUUGCUAACCCUAGGUUUCCCUUCAGACUCCAGAUUCUCGCUAACUGGAUUCCCUACCCUCUGAGAUCGUCCCCCUUUGCUGCACUAGGGUUCCAUGUCCCAACCACAUAGUGAUCUAGUUUGUUUAAGUUCCGACCCAAUUCCUUCUUUGUGGCCUCUACCCUUACUGCUACUCUCUCUUUACCCCUCGACAUGUUGGUCACUUUCGCGAAUGUCUUCGCCAUGUUUGGCUUCAAGCGUGGCUCUUAUUCCUUCUGGCUUUUCAUUCCUUUGUCUGCACAGCCCAAACACUGUAAUGUCUCCACCAUUGAGGCCCAACCACUCUUUGCUCCUCUUCCUUUGGGAAUGAAGAUGCUAAAUCUCUUUCUCUCCAAAUCCACAACACCCAGACGGAGAAAGCAUCCCCCUCUGUUAUAGUCGCGCACGAGAGAAUAAUCCCUCCCAUUUUCCUGCCACUUUCUUACCCAUUUAACCAUCCUCACAUCCUCAAUGCUUAGAACCAGGCACUCGAGGACUACCCCAAGGCUUGCCGGUCCCAGCCUAAUCCACGAUGAGAUCCCUCCUUUCCUUUCCACAAUUGUGGCUUGCAAUCUGCCUCUCUUCUCCUCCACCUCAACCUCGAACGUUUUCGAUUCCACUCCGAAGCCACCCUUCCUAACACUCUUCCCAGGCCUCGCAUGGACCUCGCCCUCCACAAUCUCGGUCGCUCUCAGGGAGUCUCGCACUCCGCCGACGCUCUCACUCUCUCUCGCGCUCUUUCUUUCUCUAACCCUCUCUCUCUCUCUCCUCCAUAUUGCCAUGCAACUCAACCGCGUUCUUUAACAAAAGAUCAUCUUCAGGUUUCCAUGGCGUGAUAGGAGCAAGAGCACCCAUAUUUUCUGAACCACUGUUUCUCUCUCUCCCUCUAGAACGGUGUCUCUCUCAGAGAACGAGACAUGGAAGUAACCUGAAAAAAGCGUGGGCUUCUACACUUUACAGAAAACCUAAUGAAUUGGGAGGACAAGCUGUAAACUUUUACGUCUCCAGGGUCUUAUUUUCUAUCUAUUCAUACAAACAAUGCAAGCUGUAAGCAGCUUAUUCAAAAUCCAAAUUAGUCAAAACACAGAGAUGCAGUGACCACUCAAGGAACAUCACAAGCUAUGCAAGAAGUCAUAACAUGAAACAAUCUCCGAAUUUGUAGAAAAACACGUUUCAAAGAAUCUUAACAAUUAGUCUGCAACAGGUAAAGGGGAAAAGAUACUAAAUAUAUACUGACAGGGUUUUCAAUUUUGUCAUUUCCCCAAGGUAAUCAGGUAGCGGGCCAACAAUAUUGCAACUCCUCAAUAUUCUGCAAUCAAAUCAAAUAUAUAUCACCAAAAAUCUCAAAAAUAUGUUCUAUGUACUGUGUAUUAUCAAGGGCAAUCUACUCACAGAGUUUUCAAGUUUCUCAUAUCACUCAAUGGUGGAAAAGUUGCUUCAGUUCCAUUCAGGUCACUGAUUCUCCUGCACAUAGAAAUUCAAUAAAAAAUAAAAAUAUAAUAAUUUCAAUCCAUAUAAAUUAUCAAAGCUAUGGCAUAGGAGAGCUUUACUCACAAGUCAGUUAUUUUUGUCAAAAGGGCAAUGCCAGAAGGAAUCGGCCCACUGAAACCACUCCCUUGAAUCACUCUGUCGGUAGCAAAUUUCAAUUAGAAUAUGUGAUUAUAAAUGAAAUCAUGCCACUCAUACCAACUCAAACAUCAGAUUCAACAAAGCUCUCACAAUUUUUCAAGUUUUGUCCAGUUCUGUAUAAAAUUGGGUAUCUUUCCUGUGAACUGAUUAUCUCCAACCCGACUGCAUUGAAUUAAAACAAAGAUACAAUAGCCCCAAUCUCAGAAUUCAACAAAAAAAAUAUGCUAAUUUAUGCAUACAAAAACCCGAAAAAAGAAAAGACACUUCAAAAUCUUACAAGUCCUUCAAUGUGGUAAGCCCUGCAAAUGUUUGUGGUAACUCCCCAGUGAAGUUGUUUGAGGUAAGAAGUCUUCAACAACGAAAAACACAACCAAACCAAUAAACCCACCAGCGUUAAUAAUAAAAAAAAAACUGGUAACACCCAUAAUUGGCAAAAUCUACAAACAAAAGGGUCUUACAUUCUCUCUAUACUGGGCAGAUUCCCAAGCUCCUGAGGAAGAACCCCUGAAAGCUGAUUGAACUCUACGGUUCUACGCAUAUCAAAUCCAAAAUUUUCGCAUCAAAAACAAUAAUUCUUAGAAGAUCACACACUGAAAAGGGAAACAAAUGGGUAAUUAGAAGUUCACAGGUUUGCAAGAGUAGAGAUGUUUCCAAGCUCUUUGGGAAUCGAACCCGUUAACCGGUUUCCGAUCAGAGAACUGCAACAACACCCACAUACCAAAUUCAAAAAAUAAAAAUAAAAAAUGAAAUGCUUAAAGGUUCAUAUUGAAUAAGCCAUCAAAAUUUCAACCAUAUAUACAUAGAUGGAGAGAAAACACACAUGUUUACUAGUUGCAUUGUACCCCAUUCUGGAGGGAUUGAACCGUCGAGGUAGUUGCGUGUGAAGUCACUGUAACGGAGAUGAAUUACAGUUAAGUUAGUUGAAGUCCUAAAUGGGUAAUUGAAGAAAUGGGUGAUGCCAAAAUUGGCAGAAAAAUUAAGUUAGAGAAAUACUCACAUUUCUUGGAGGUAAGGAAGCUUAACCAGCUCUGGUGGGAGAGAUCCCGGGAGAUUCUGAGUCUUGAGGACUCUACAAUUGAUAAAUACUCACGUUAACGGUUAUUAAUUAACUUAUGAUUGAUUUGUAUUUUUUUUUUAAUUAUUUUUCAAAUAUUCUUUAAAGAAAAAAAAAAAAAGACUAGGCUGUUCCUUAAAAAUUUUAAGGAAAAAUGCAAGAAAAAAUAAUUUAAAAGAAAAUAAAAAAUAAAUAAAUUAUUUUUAUAUACUACUUCAAAUUUAUUAAGAUAUUUUAUCUUUUUUUAUAUAGAAGUUAAAUAAUUUUAAAAUAUAUAAAUUUUUAAUUAAUUUUAAUUAUAUUUAAUUUUCUUUUAUACUUUUCAUAAAAAAAACCUAAAUAUAAAAAAAUAAUUUUUUUUUCAUUUAUUUUCUUUUCUUAGCAUUUUUCUCAUACCAAAUACAUUAAUAUUAACACAUCUUUAUAUUUUUAAAAAUUAAAAACUCUUUUCAAAAAUAAUUUUCAAAUAUAUUGUAAAAUUUUAACUUAGUAGAAAGCUUAACUUGAUUCAAACACAAUUCAAGAAACUAGAUUCAUAGGGUGUUAUGUAUACAUUUUUAAGUUUUAUUAUUUAUAUUAUAAUUUUAUUUGUUUAUAUUUAAAUUUCAUUAUAUCUCACGAUACAUAUUCAAUGGUCUUGAUUUAGACCAGGAUAGGUAUAGCUUUGCAUUUCCCGUCCGUAUAUAUCCCCAAGGGCCCAACCUCACUCGGCUGCCGACAAAAAAGAGGUGGGCCCAUUGGACCUCAGUUCCUAAUUGGGCCCACAAGAUAAGAUUCUCCUUUCGAACUUUGUCCUAACAUCCCAGAAUGACAACAGUCUGAACUUAUUGGACCUGAAGGCCCAUUUAGAAGUCAAAGUCAACACAACAAAUUAUGGCCACCAACCUAACUUAUUAUUAUAAAUAAAUAAAAUUAUAAUAUAUAAAUAUAUUAUAUAUAUUUAAAUUAUAUGAUAGAAAUAUUAAAAAAACCUUUGGAAAAAUAAAAUAAAAGGGUACUUAAUAUUAUAAAUCCUUAUGAUAUUCAAAUGUCAAUAUUAAAACGAAAUUUAUUUAUUUACUAAAUAUGGCCAUUUAUAUUAAAACCUUCUUUCUAUAUAAGUUAGGUAAAUUAGGGUGGAGAGUGGAAGCCAACUAUUCCAUAUAAAGUCCUUCAAUAAAAUAUUUCACAUUAAUUUAUUUUCAUCUAUAACAUAUUCUAAAAUAAUUGGAAUGUGUUUUGGUAUUAAAAAAAAAUGAAAAUAGCAUGAACCAAAAAAUACAUAAAUUAUAUUACAUUAAAGUUACCCGUGUUUCCUAAAAAAUACUAAGAAAAAAAAUGAUAAUAAAAAUAUUUUUUUAUAUUUGAUUUAAUCAUAAAAAAUAUAUAUAUAAAUCAAAUAUAAUUAAAAUUUAUCAAAAUUUUAUAUAUUUUAAAAUUAUUUAGUCUAUCUAUAAUAAAGGAAAAUAAUUAAAAUGAGUUUGAAGAAAUAUAUAAAAAUAAUUUAUUAAAAUUUAAAUUUAUUUUUAGUUUUUCUUNNNNNNNNNNNNNNNNNNNNNNNNNNNNNNNNNNNNNNNNNNNNNNNNNNNNNNNNNNNNNNNNNNNNNNNNNNNNNNNNNNNNNNNNNNNNNNNNNNNNUUUUUUCUUUCUAAUUUUUUUUCUUAAAUGUCUGAGAAUCAAACAUAGGCUAAAACUUUUGUUUUUUUAUUUGAAUUUUUAAUAAACUUUGAAAUAUUUUACUUUCAUUUUUUGAGUUAUAUGAUUCAAAAUUUAUACAAAUUUAGGGGUAUUUAGAUUUUAAAUUGGAAAUAAAUAUUGUUCUAUAACAUGUAAAGUAUUCUCGAAAUAAAAACUUUAUUUAUAAUCCGAUGAUUAUUGUUUGUUUUCUUAAUUGAAUUGUAAUUAAACUCAACUCAAUCUUUUUAGAAACUAAAAAAAUUGAGCAAAUAAAUAGAAGUUUAAUUAACUUACAUGCUAACAACAUGGCAAACAGUGUUGUUGGUGCAGCUACAAGUGACAGCAUUUUCCGACCCCUUCACCGGAUUCUUCGUCGCCCAACCCCACUCACCGCCGCACGGAUCCGCACUGAAGUUCCAGUCCGUCUUCCCCAGAGUUUCCGCGAUCUCUUCCAGAGCUUCCACUGUAAAGUGUAAUAAUAAUAAGAUUGAUUUUUGAGAGUAUAUAUAUAGAACUAUGAAAAAUGAGGUAGAAUGAAUGGUAGUGUCACCUUCAUUAUUUGGGAGGAGAGUUGCAGAGAAGGUGAGAGUUGUGAAGAAAGUGAAGGCAAUGAGUAAAGAAGAGAGAAGGCUGUUAAUGGAGGGCAUGGUUUUAGGGUUGUUGCAGAGGAGGAGGGCUUGGGGCUUGGAGGAGCACUAGAUGAUGGAUGAGGAUUAAUGAUUUGUGGUAAGAGGGUCUUUGUCGUGUACAGGAGGAGAGAGAAAGAGAGAAGACUCAGAGCGAAGACUUCGAUACAUGGUUAUAUCGUACCGUACCAUGGUUGAUGAUUUUACAUUUGAUUAAUCAAAAAGCAUUUUUUUCCGCAAAUUUUAAAGAUAAAGUUUUUUUAAAAAAUAAAUAUUUAAAACUUUUUUCAAAUCUACGAGUCUGUCUAAACUUCCAUAUUUACACUAAAACAAAAACAUAAAUAUAUAUAUAUACACACUAGAUAUUUAGUACAUUCUUUUUAUUUUAAAAUUUAAUAAUUAAUUAUAGUAAUAAAAACCGAUAAAAAGAUAAAAUUUAAUAAUUGUUGGAGACAUCUUGGUAUCAUUGUGGACCCCGUAAUUUUACUCAAUGCGUUUCCACUCGAUAACGAAACUCGUUUUUUUAUUUGUUUGAUGAAAAUUUGAUUUUUUUUAUAAAAAAAAAACUUGGAGUCGUUACUUAUUUUUUAAGGGAAAAACAAAAUAAAAAAGAAAAACUCUAAGUGUGACUCUUGAAAGAAAAACAAGUGUAUAAAAAUCGAGUCUGGGUCCGGAGGUCAAGUUACUUAUCGAGAAGAUACGGUGGUGAACCGUAGCACUCCUCUAAACCCCUUAAAAAACGGGUCUCUAUUAAAUAAGACGAGGCAAGUGUGGCAAUUGACGAGGAAAUCAAUGGUUACCAAUAAAAUGAUCGGAUAACAAAAUGAAUCAUGUAUGAGAAUAAGCAAAGUGGGAGUGAGAGCGUAUCUGGGCAGUAAGUAAUAUUGCGCUAUUAUGGAAACGAGGUUAGCUCAAGUAUAAAAUUAACACAUGUAUAUCAAAGAGUAAGGCAAUGAUCGAACAAUAUUCAUUAAGCAUAACAAUUAACAAUCGGAAAAUAAAACUUAUAUGUAAGGCCUCCACCAAAGCUCAAUUUAUCUCGCAUGAAUUGGUCUCACAAAUUUUAUUAUUUCGGAAUUAUGAAAAAUUCAUUCUUACUUAUGUAAAAUCAAGAGAAACAUAAGAUUAUUUGAUAACCAGAAUGGAAUUAAAACUGUUAGAGCGAAAACUGGAUUUUUGAAAUUUAUUUGAAAAUUGGAGUUUCGAAAAUCUUUUGAAAAUUGGAGUCUUGGAAAUUAAAUUUAAGAAUUGAAAUUUUGGAAAUUGGAAAUUAAGUUUGAAAAAUUGGAAUUUCAGGAAUUGCGAACUAAAUUUGAAAUCGGAAUUUUUAAGAAUUUAUUUAAAGAUGGAAUUUUUUUUAAUAAAUAAAUAAAUAAGAAAAAUAAAAAUAAUAACGAAAUUAUUAACGAUUAAAUAAAUAAAUUUGAAAAUUAGAAUUUUGAAAAUUGGAAAUUAAAUUAGGAAAUUGGAAUUUUGAAGAAUUAUUUAAAAAUAGAAUUUUUAAAUAUUAAGUUUGAGAAUAAGAAUUUCGAAGAAUUAUUUAAAAAUGGAAGUUUGAAAAUUAAAUUUAAGAAAAUGAAAUUUUGAAGAAUUAUUUGAGAAUGGAAUUUAAAAUUAAAUAAAUAAAUAAUAAUAUUAAUAAAUAAAAAUAAAAAUAAAAAUAAUAAAUAAUAAAUAAAAAUCUUGGAAAAUUGGGAUUUUGAGAAAUUAUUUAAAAAAAAAAAAGUGAAUUUGAGAAUAGAAUUUUGAAAGAUUAAAUUUUGAAAAUCGGAAUCUUGGACAAUCAUUUUGAGGAUGGCAUUUUGAAAAACUAAAUUUCGGAAAUUGAAAUGUUAGAAAAUUAUUUUAAUAUCAAAAUAUGAAGAAAUAGUAAAAAAAAAAAAAAUGGCUUGUGGUGAUCCUCAUUUGCAAGACUUAAUUCUCCACGUGUUCAAAGUGGCAACCAACCUAUUCGCUAUGCUGCCAACAUACCAAAGAAUGCCACAAGAUUACUUCCCAUAUUACAAUAAUGUCAUUCAAACCCACUUUCCAUGCAAGUCUCUUUCAUACUCACCAUGCACUUCCCGAGAGCACCACAAACCCAUUUUUUUUUUUAUGAAAAACAAACACCACAAUGCUGCCACCUUCUUACCUAUUCGCUAUGCUGCCAACAUACCAAAGAAUGUCACAAGAUUACUUCCCAUAUUACAAUAAUGUCAUUCAAACCCACUUUCCAUGCAAGUCUCUUUCAUACUCACCAUGCACUUCCCGAGAGCACCACAAACCCAUUUUUUUUCAUGAAAAACAAACACCACAAUGCUGCCACCUUCUUACCUAUCCGCCAUUCUCACUACCAUGCGCAUGGAGUUUCCAUUGGUGGAAUGGGGGUAUAUGGUAGUGAGAGAAAUGGGUUCGGGUUGAUGAGGUGAUGAAAUGAAGUCAUGCACGUAGAGAUUAACGUCGGGUGGAGUCAUGGGUAGUGAGAGAAAUGGGUUUAAGGGUUUGGUGGGUGUGAAGUUAUAGGUUUGAUGGAGGAUAGGAGGUUAGUGAAAAUGAGUUCAAUAGAUAUGAAAGAUGGGUUAGAGAGCAUUAAAGAAAUGGUGAUGUGCAUGGAAGGUUAGGGAGGAUGAGGUGGUUAGCUUGGGUGUGAGGGGUGGUGAGCAUGAAGGAUGGAAAACUGGUGGGUAUGAAUGAUGGGUAUGAUUAGUGAGUUUAGAAAAUGGGUACAGUAUUAGUGGGACGGGUAGUGGAAAAACAGAUUGGUGGGUAUUGGAAAAUGAGGUCUCUAUAGUAGCCAUGCAUGCGUCAAAAAAAUAGGAAGGAGUGCAUGGAGGAUAAAUGGAAGGAUGAGUGAUGGAAGUAGCAAAAUGCAUGGGUAUGUUCGGUGUGAGGUUAAGAAUGGGAUGUAUGAUACAUGGUGAUGGGUAUGAUGGUAUAUAAAAAAAAAAACAGAGAGUGAUGAGGUUUCCAUGCAUGGCAUUAGGGGAAUGGACAUGUGGGUGAUGAAUGGUGUGUUAUUUGUCUUUGAUAUCCAUUAUCACCAAAACAUAUGCAGGAUAUAUUUAUCAAUUCAUUUAGAACAUGUUUUUAUUCACAUGGAACAUACCCGAAUCCAUUUCUGAAUUUUGGUUGAAGAUGUAUGGAUCUUCUAAGGUCGAGGAGGGUAACCACCGUCACUGGAUUCUCUCUAGCAAUGGGAAGCGAGAGAGAUUAGGGUUCUGUUCUAUUAAAAAAUGUGAUGAUAUAAAAUGAAUAGACCUUUGACCUUUUAUACCCUCCUACCUUAAGGACCAUACCCAUUGGGCUAUUGGGCCUCACGAGUCUUAGGCCCAUCAUCUAAGGCUCGUGAUGGCGUUUUGGCUCUACACAUAGGUGGCCCAUACUCUUGAACGAAUCAGAAAACAAAUAGUAAGAUGUGAAUAGCUUAGUCAUGAAUUAUUGUUAGAUAUGUGAGUCCAUAUCUUAACAUGGUGGUGAGAGAAAAAUGGGUUUAAUGGGUAUUCAAGAAAAUUAAUGAUAUGGGUAUAAUGGCAAUGGGUGGUUAAUGGAGAGAAGGGCAUGGUUAUGAGCGCGUUUGUGUUGGAGUGACGUGCGUGUAAUGGUGAAACAACAUGCAUGAAGGGUGGAAGAAUGGGUAUGGCGACUGUGGAAUGGAUAAUGAAGGGUGAUGAGAAAUGUGGGUUUCACUGGCAAAUAUCAACUGUACAACCCAAAACCAUCUGAUACCUUUCUUCUAAAUUGUCAUCUUCAUUAUUAAACUCUAGAGACUUCUGUUCAGCCAUCCGUUUGAGAAAUAUAACCUUCCCAAGCAUUGUGAUAUUCAAGCUGAGAUUUUUGGAAUGAAAAUGGGUGAGGAUUUGAGCCAGCUGCUCUACCAUGGGUCCUCCAGGAGACACUCUGAUCCAAACGACCAAGCCAAACAAAGGAACCUAAUACUCCAAAAUAAAGGAUAACAUGAAGAAAAAAAAGAGCAAAGACAAGAGAAAACAGUAUUGUUGAACCCAAGCUCCAUUUUAAUGAAUAUCAAUGAGUUUUCGAAAGAAAAUGGUGGGAGGACCGAAUAGUCUUAACAUGCAAACAAAUAACAUAACCAUCGUGCAAUUCAUACAAGAGAAAACAGAGACCUAACAAAAAAAAAAACGAGAAGCAGGUUUAACACAUUAAAUGAUCAAAGCAAGCAACCAAACAUCGGCAAGAAGCUCAGUGUGACCAUCAAAAUAAAAUAAGAUAAAAGAAAAGUGAAGAACAUAAGGUGAGGAAUGAUCAAACUUGAGCGAUUCCUUCCCUGCUCCUCUCUCACGGUCCUUGAAAAGCUCACUCUCGUUUUCCCUCAGGUUCUCUUCUCUCAAACCAAAUGGCCCCCAAAAAUCCCCCAUAAUGUCUUCUCCACCUCUCGAAAAACUUACCUUCCCCAUUCAAAGAAAAACCCCCCUUCUCAAAAAUAUCUCCUCCUUCUUUUCUAGUUUUUUUGCCCUUCCCCUGUUUCUGCCUUCUCCCGCAAGCCACUACCCGCUCCACUAUGCACCAUUCAGCCAAUAUGUCACCCUCUCCAACCACCAUCAUGGGCGAGCUGCUGAUGUUCACCACACGUCCAUGCAUGGAGCUUCAUGGGAGGUGUCCCCCACUCCCAAUGAAAUGCUCUCCAACUCCUUAAUAAAAGCAAAUAAAAACUAAAAACAUUUGGUUCGUAAAAAUGAGGUCUACAAUCAUUUCAUAUUCUUCAAUUAUUUUACCUUAUGAAGUUAAACCCACUAACAUGAACAGCUCAAUUCAUUUAUAUAUUUCUUGGAUUCACCACUGAAAAUUCCCCAAAAAAUAAAAAAUAAAAAUUCACAAGACAAUGGAUUUACAGGCCAUGGAUUGCUGGUGACAGCUCAAGUUUGCUUCAUAGUCAACUCAAUACAAUUUUAUUUUAUUUUUCAAUAUAAUAUGGCCAUGUGAUGAAUAUCCUAUGCAGCAAGAAGUUGGUUCUCAUUUCUAAGACUUUCUCACCAGCCAAACAUUGUGUAAUGUCAAAGGUAUGAAUAAAAAAAAAUUUCUUCUUUCUGAGUUUUUUUAAAUCCAAGUUGAGGAAGUUGACUUGGGGAGUAACACCAAGUUGCACUGCUGUAGCAGUUAAGAAGAUACACAAUUUUGAAUUUAUCGUCUCCUUCAAGUCUUUGUCACCACCAAACCUAGGGAUUUUCAGAUAAAGUUGUCUGUACUUAUUGAUUAAGUUUAGUCAUGGUCAUCAAGUACAAGUUCCUUGCGCUUUCAUAUAGGUUUGUACUUUCUUUUUUUCUAAUAAUUAAAAUUAAUUUUUGGAUCAUGGGAAAUCUAAUGGAGGAAAAUGACCAAAAGGCCAAAAAUAAUUUUUUUUAUUUAAUUUAUUGUUAAAAAUAUGAAAAAAAAAAUCAAAUAAAAUAAUAAAUAGUUAUAUUUUCAAGUACUUUAUUCAAAAAGUCUAUGAAAACUUUAAUUUUAUCAUAGGAAAAUGUUAUUUAUUUUAAUUUUUAAGGUGGUAUUUAAAUAUUAUGAUUUUUUUUUUUAAUAAUAUUUAAAACAAGUCCUCUAAAAUAUAGAUUUUUUUCUUUCGUAAAGUUGAAAUGGAGGUAUAAUAUCAUCUUUCCACAAAAAAGGAUUCAAAGAAGGUGUUUGAAUUUUUAUAUUUUAGCUUAAUAAAAUGAAGCAACCACCCUUUGUUGAUGAAGCUAAAUCUUUCUAUUCUAACUAUAUAAUAAAAUAAUUUUUUUUUUUUAAGAGAAAAAGUAAUUGAGGGUGAAAAAUGUGUUUAAAAAAUAUUUUUCUAUUUUAUUUAAUCAAUAAUAUUACAUUAAAUAUUAAUAUAAAGUAAUAUAUUUAACUAUAUGUUAUAUAAUUAUAAGCGGUUGUGGCUCACUAUGAAUCACUUAAUAUGAUUUAAUAGUUUAAUUUAAAUUAUUAAAUAUAUUAAGUAUAUUAAAAAAAUAGUUUGAUAUCUCCUUCUAACUUGUUUCCAUGCUUAGAAGUAUAUCCAUUAAUCCAUAAGUCUCUUUGACGAACAAUCUUCAAUGCUUUUAUACAUUUAUAAUACCUAAAGUGUUGUCUAAAUAUAAUUUGACCGAAAAUUAUGACUUUGACUUUACCUUAGACUAAAAAACUAUCUCAAAUAUAUUAAGGAAAGAGCAUCAAAGCCACAAAAUCUGUAGAGAAACUAAAGAUGCCAAAAACCGAUAAAUGAACACAAAUGCUUCAUAGAUUGAUGAGCAAGCCUUUCUUUCAUACACAACUCAAACAUAUUUCCCAAACAUACAUCUUUGAUAAAAUUGAGAACUUUUUUCUGUAAAACCGUAUGGAUUACAGGACAUGAAAAUAUUUAUACAAAUUCAAAGAAAUACUAUCCACCCACCUACAUAAAUGGUGUCAAAGAAGAACACAGAAGAAUUGAAAACCAACAUUUAAUCUCUGUUCUCUCAAUAUUCAAAAUCCAAGGUGACUGGGUAGAGAUCAGGGAUGGAUGAAGAAGCAGUCCAUGGCCUGUCUGGCAUGCUCUCGCUCACACCCAUGCUCUUUUCUUGGGUGUAGUAAUAAUGCUCCUUCAUCUCCUUGAGCUUUAAGUCAUCACUAGGAACACUGGGAUCAGAAACAAUGUCCUGAACAGUGGUUCUGCCUUCAAGCAUGCUCACAACUGAUGACAUAGCUGGCCUGACUGCUGGAGAGACCUUUGUGCACAGGAGAGCUAUGUUGAUCAUUGCCAUGACCUCUUCCUUGUUGAAGUCUUGAGCCCAAUCUGGGGUCAACUAGAUCCAUCAAAUUCCCCUCCCCUUUUAAUGAGAGUGCCUAGAAAUCAAGAAAGAAAAAGAGAGCUUGUGUUUAAAUCAAGCCAUAUGGACUCAGGUGGUAAGACUCUAUUUGUUUCAACAUAUGCUGAAUGAAGCCAUGGAAAUGUCACAACCACAUUGAAUGAGUUUAAUAUUUGGUAUGUGAUGAAUGGAAUGUGCCCAGCUAGCCUGCUACCCAGAAAGAGGCAUGCUAAUAUAGGGGUUUGCUCACAGUGAUCAAGGAAGGUCCCAAUGACGUCUUAUUGCUAAUACAGUAAUAUCACACAAUUUGUAUAAUUGAAGUCAUUCAGGAUGGGAGCAUAUACUACCUGCUUCUUCGUUUAAGGUUGAAAAGGAAGCAAUGCAUGUAAGUAUUAGUAGUAUUGGGGCAAUUUCGAUUUGUCUGAGAAAAUUUUUGAUCGAGAGAGUCUAUUUGAUUCAUAUAGCAUCAUGAACUAGGAAAAUGGUCCAAGGGAUGCCAUGAAUCAGAAUAUAACUUCAGCCCAAGAUAGGAAAAUGUAGUUGCCAUGAUGUGGUGACUAUAUUUUUAUAUAUAUAAUUCAAGAGCCAUGGUUAGGGAUUCAUGAUUCAGAUCCUAUUAACUUCCACAUUGAUCAGGCUGGGAAAGCAGCCAGUCCUUGGUCGGUUCUAGUUAAGUUGCUUUACUCAACAGAUCGGCAAAAACAGCAGCAUGACCCGCGACUGUUAUGUGGAACUGCCCAUUUCAAAAUGAGGUUAAAGCAUGUCUUUUGGCUAUAGGAAGUGUUAGACAGAACUAGUGUGAGGGGAUAAAUUUAUUCUCUGGGUUCUCAACAGGUUUUACAGCUUGUAGUUUGAAUGAUGAAGCCAUUCAUCCUUGACGAUGCUUCCCGACACAAAUAACAAAUCAUGCUGUUAAGAAUGAGAAAAUUCAGAGAUGACAUAUGCAAGAAAGAAUGUUGUCGAAAUUACCCAAUCAAGAAGAUAGAUGCAUUCCUCUUUUGGCCUAUAAGUAGUGUUUCUUCUUCCACUGACAAUUUCCAAGGCAACAAUUCCAAAACUGUAAACAUCUGCUUUGUCAGUUAAAUAGCCCCGAAAUGCAUAUUCAGGUGCCAUAUAUCCACAGCAAAAUGAGGGUAUGAUUUUACACAAAUUUUCCAUUUGCAUGAAGGAUAAACACUGGUGAUCAAAAGCAAAAAUUUCUAGGAUGUGGUUUCCAAAGUGAUAUCAGUAUCACUGCUUCCUAUUUGAGCUAAACGGAAAGAUAAAUAAUGAUACUGAAAUUAUCACAGCCAUAAAGAUCUGGAUUUCCUGAAUUCUGAAAGAGUAAGAAACCAUUGACAUCCAUUCAAAAGAAAGAAAAAGCCCAUUAACUAAAAAUCAGGAGACAGUGACUCACAAUGCACCAGCAUUCCCGGUGCUAAUGUGGGUGUUAUCCUCUUCAUCAAGUUUGGCCAAACCAAAGUCAGAUAUUUUGGGGUUAAGAUUCUUAUCAAGCAGCACAUUUGUGGCCUUGAUGUCUCGGUGGAUGAUCUUCAGCCUUGAUUCUUCAUGAAGAUAAGCCAACCCUCUUGCUAUGCCAACACAGAUCCUGUGUCUAGUUGGCCAAUCCAAUUGUAAUUGACAUUCUUCGGGGCCUAAAUCAUCAUAUCAACCAAAAGUUAGAUGUAAGAAGCACUCAAAUCACACAAGUUCAUAUACAUGUAGUUUUAUAGCAGAAGCAAUUGAGCAAGGCACGUAAGCAGAUGUGAAAAAAACAGACCAAACAAAGCACGAGCGAGGCUGUUAUUUUCCAUUUACUCAUAUAUCAGCAACAACUGAUUUCCUUCUAUACAACAGCCAUAGAGCUUCACAAGAUGAGGAUGUUGAAGAGCAGAAAUCAUGCCUAUCUCAUUCACAAACUCACGGUUUCCUUGUUUUGACUUGGAAGAAAGCUGCUUCACUGCAAUUAUGGUGCCAUCCGAUAAGAGGCCCUGCAUUUGAGAAAUAGUGUCUUCACUUCAGUAUAAAGUUUUAUGAUAACAAACUGCUUAAUGAACAGCUUAAAUGCAUAAAAUGAGGGAAAACUAAUUAUUGUGCUGAAUACCUUGUAAACAGAACCAAAUCCAACUUCUCCAAUUUUGUUGGCAGCAUCCAAGUUGUUUGUGGCAGCCUUAAUUUGCCUUAAGGUAAACAAACCAGUUUGCUGAUCUAGACCCUUUAAAUCUGUAGAAGAAGCCAAGUUAGAUAAGAAAUAUAUCUAAAAAAAAGUUGCAAUUAUUUCUACAUUCCUAAUAGUUUUAGAAGGAUUUUGAUGGAUUAUAACUGUAUCUUCUACAUCCAGAGAAAUCAACCCUGAUCAGAUACCAUGUUUCAGCAUGAAUGCCAGCAACCCAAUCCACUGCUACGACAUCAACAAUGAAAUGUUUUGAUAUACAACAUUUUUCAUAAUCAAUACCUUGUUCCAAUGUAUCUUUGCGCCUUAGGCAGCCUCUCCACCAAAGGAUACCGAUAACCAGGAAGACAAGAAGAAUGACUCCAGCCACAAUGCCAACCACAACGCUCACAGAUAUACUAGUACUGCCAUUUCUGGAAGGAGGUAUAAAAUCUGCAAUAAGAAAACAGGGUUAGAACAGAUACGCAGAUGGAAUGGAAGCUUUUAGGCAAAUGAUGGCACAAAGAAAAACAAAAUCCAACCAUUAGUAAUGCUGCAAAAAGAGACUAAUCACAAAAAAUAUUUUAUCAACAUUAUUCUUCAGAGUCAAAGUCAAAUAAACAUGAAAAGAUGCUCAAACUGUUGGCAAAUUUCAGAAGAGCAACACAUAAAGAGCGAUGAAAUUUUCAAUGAUAUAGGUAGCAUCAAAGAAGAAUCAUUUGAGAUUCCAUAUAUAUUAAAACAGACCUGUGCCAAACCCUUCAAAAAAUAAUGAAUCAUGUCCAUGUUGUUUCCAAGUGCCCUAAAGAAAAGAGGAGUUGCGCAGACUGAACCAAGUCACUAAACUAAAAAAAUGUGUAAUUUGAGAAGUAGAAGAACAAUACCCUUUUGCAUACCAACUAUUCAAAAUUGUUGAACUACCAAUUUUCUAAAUGUUUAAGCUUAAGCUCCCUCAUGUGUGGUCCCAUGCCACAGGUGGAGGAACAAACAAAAUCUGGAUUCAUAUCCCAAUAGACAAAGAUAGACAAAAUUUGGAUUCAAACAAACAAAGGAAAUGCAAUCUGAUACUCUAAUUAUUAAAAAGCUACUAAAAAAACAUAGACAACAAUAAUGAAUAAAAAGUAAAAGUAGUUCGGAGUUAUUACCAUUUAAUGAUAUUUAUAUAAGUAAUAAUUUGAGUUUAAUAAAUAUUAUUUUUACGUUAGAAUAUAUGAAAUUCGAAUGAUUUUUUUAGAGGGUUUUUUUAUUAUUAUUAUUAUUUAAAAGUGUGGACUAAACAUGCUAUUUCCAUAAAAUAUAAAUCGGUUUUCUUUGAAAAGGAUUUAUUCUUUCAAAGUGAAAAUUAGUUUGCAUUUUGUGAGAAAUAUUCCUUGAAAAUGCCUAUAAAUCUAUUCACUCCACACUGAACCAAGUAUUGCACGCACCACGAGGAACCAAUACACAAAUCAGAGAGAAGAGCAGAAAACCAAUAAGAACAAAACCAUACCAACACACAAAUCAUAGAGAGGAGGAACCAAUACACAACUCAUAGAGAGAGAGAGAGAGAGGAUUUACCUCUGCAAAGCACAGCCCUGGGGCUGCCAUCUGAACUUGAGAUACAAAUCAUCCAUACGCCCAUUCCUCUGGCAAUUGAACUCCCUCUCUAUGAAUGGGCAUUCCUCCGCCUUGUACAGAGGAUAUGUCUCAUCCCUAACCCAUAUCCCUUGAAAAAAAUCACACUUCUCCCCACUCCCAACCGCAUUUCCAAUACAGACAACAACAACAAAAAUGAACAAAACACCCUGAACCCAUGAACCCAUUUCUCAAUCUCAAGCUCCCCAAGAGAGAGAAACAGAGAUGGGUUUUGUGUGGAAUUCUACUCUAGUAAAGACCCAUUGCCCAUUUCCCAUGUCUCAAGAUUUCUAUUUAAUAUAUAGACAAAAGAAGGAGGAUGUAGAAAGAGAGUAAUGUUUCAAUGUGGGUAAAUGAGGAAGUGAUUUGUCUCUGUUUUUUAAAAGAGGAAAGGAGAACUUUGGGUGUGUUGUCAUGUAUGGUCACUAUGGUGUGAUAAUAUCUUAAUAUGUACAGGAGAUGCCCUGGAUAAUAAGGUGUCAUGUGGACUUUUGACCAAAACUCAGCCAAUGAGAGACCCUUGGUUGGUUUGGUUUUCUCCAUGGGAUAACUACUUUUUCUUUCUUUUUUCAUUUUUUGGAUUUCUUAAAUUUUUGAAUUCAUGUAACUAUGAGUCCUUCGAUAGUGUCAAAUUGAUACCUACCAAAAAUUAAACCAAUCUCAAUAUACCACUUUUAUAAUUUUAUCUCAUUAUUUUGUAAUUCACUUACAUUUCGUUUAUUUGUAAUCAGUCUCAUACUCAUUUGCUCCAUUAAUGGCUUCUAGGUCCAUGCUUGUCUUCUUCUUCUUGCUCAACCACCAAUCUUAUGUCAUCUUUCUUCCUUUAACUAUGUUAUUUAUUUUUAUUUAUUUUAUUGAAUUUGAAUUAAAGUGGGGAAGAAGAAGGGAUAACUUUUUUUUUUAAUUUCACAUACUGUGGACCCCGCAUUUCGGCUCAUGCGUUUUCCACUUGAUGGCGAGCUCAAUUUUAAUUUGAAAAAUUGAUCUUUUAUUGAUUAAGAAAAAUUGACUCGGAGUCGCCACUUAUUUUUGUUUUAUUUUUAAAGGGUAAACAAAAUAAGAAAGAAAAACUCUAAGUGUGACUCCUUGUUUUAGAAAAGGUGGUCUGCAAAAAAAUCGGAUCGGGUUCGGGGGUCAGGUUACUUAUCGGGAAGGUACGGUAAAAACCGUAGCACCCCUCUAAGUCCCUAAAGUCGGGUCUCUACUAAUAGAAUGAAACUAACGUGGCAAUCGAAUAAGAAAGUCAAUGGAUACUCACAUUAAUUAUGCAUAUAUGAGAAUCAGAAUAUGUAUAGUGAAUGAUCAGAAUGAGUGAAUGCGUACUUGGACUGCAAACAACAACGCGCUAUCAUGGAAUGAGGUUAGUGAAUAAACGCAAAAUGAUUAUAUGUAUAUCAAGGAACAGAAUAAAUCGAUCACACAUGACAAAUGAAUCGAUCAAUCAGUCAAUCAAUCAUGAAAUCUCAUAUGUGGGGCCCCCACCAAAGCCCAUUCUAUUUUGCACGAAUUAGUUUCACAAAUUCCAUUAUUCUGAAAUUAUGAAAAUAGCAUUCAUGCUUAUAUAAAAUCAAGAGAAAUCGAAGAUUAUUUGAAACCCGAAGAGAAUUAAAACUGUUAGAGAGAAAAUUGGAUUUUUGAGAUUUAUUUGAAAAUUGGAGUAUUGGGAAUUAAAUUUAAGACUUGGAAUUUUAGGAUGUCAAACUUGAAAGAAAUUAGAAUUUUAGAAAUCGGAAAUUAAGUUCGGAAAUUGGGAUUCAAAAAAAAUGUUUAAAAAUGAAAUUUUGAAAUAAAUAAAUGGAAUAAUAAUAAUAAGGACGAAAAUAAUGAUUAAAUAAAUGAAUGGGAAUAUGGGAAUUUUCGGGUUUAGGAAUUUAAUUCGGAAAUCAGCGGUUUUAAAGAAUUUGAUUUAAAAUGGAGUUUUGAAAUAAAUAAAUAAAUAAAAUACUAAUGAUCAAAUAAUUUAGUGGGAAUAGGGAUUAGGAAUUUAACUCGGUAAUAAGAAGUUUUAAAGGAUUGAUUUAAAUUGAAUUUUUAAAAUAAAUAACUAAAAUACUAAUGAUUAAAUAAAUUAAUGGGAAUACGGGAAUUUUCGGGAUUAGGAAUUUAACUCGGAAAUCAGAAGUUUUAAAGAAUUGAUUUAAAUUGGAGUUUUAAAAUAAAUAAAUAAAAUAUUGAUGAUUAAAUAAAUUAAUGGGAAUACGUGAAUUUUCGAGAUUAAGAAUUUAGAAAUUAAAAUCGGAAGUCGGAAAUUUUAAUGAAUUGUUUAAAAUGGAAUUUUAGAAUAAAUAAAUAAGAUAAUAAUAAUUAAAUAAAUUAAUGUGAAUAUUGGAAUUUUUGGAAUUUAGAAAUUAAAAUCGGAAGUGGGAAAUUUUAAAGAAUUGUUUAAAAUAGAAUUUUAAAAUAAAUAAAAUAAAUAUUAGUGAUUAAAUAAAUUAAUGUGAGUAUGAAAAUUUUUAGGAAUUGAAUUUUAAAGAUCGGAAUUUUGAAGUAUUAUUUAAAGGUUGAAUUUUAAAAUAAACAAAUAAAUAAAUCAAUAAAUAAUGAUUAAAUAAAUUGGUGUGAAAAUUAAAUUUUCAAAAAUUGGAAUUAAAAUUUAUUGAGGAAUUAAUGUUUUUAGGAAGAUAAAUCAUGCAAAUUGAAAACAAAAGGGCUAAUUUGAGGUGGAUAUGGGCUUGGAAUGGGCAUGGACUAACUUAAGGUGGGUGAACAAAACAACUUGAAGUGAGCAUGGGCUUGGAAUGAGCGUGGGCCAGCUUAAAAUGAGAGAACAAAACAAACUUGAAGUGAGCAUGGGCUUGGAAUGGACAUGGGCCAACUUAAAAUGAGAGAACAAAACAAAGGGCCUUUCAUCAACACAUACGGGCCUGGGCUCCAACUUAAGCCCACAUCUCCAACUGGGCCAACUUAAGAUGGGUGAGCAAAACAACUUGGAGCUUUUUAUCUUCAUAUACGGGCUGGGCUCCAACUUAAGCCCACAUCUCCAACUGGGCCAAUUUAAGAUGGGUGAGAAAAUCAACUUGGAGCUUUUUAUCUUCACCUACGGGUUGGACUCCAACUUAAGCCCACAACCUUGAAGGCAUAGCCUUUGCUUCUCUUCAAUAUAAGGCCGUGUUUGGGUGAUGAGCGGGUGGAUGAUGAGUAGGGGGAAACUUAGAGAGAGGAAAGCGGGUAGAUAGUGGAGGUUAGUGAGGAGUUGGUAUGCAUGAAGAGCAUGUGGUGUAGAGAGAGGAAAGGUGGUGGGAUGAAGUGGGUAUGCAUGGGAUGAAUGAAGUAUGGUGGGCAUGAGCAUGAAAGAUGAGAGGAUGAGGGCUUGAAAGUGGGUACAUGUUGUGCCAGCAGAAGCUUUGAUGCCAACAAUGUUAGUUCAAGAACACAAAGAUAAUACAAUCACACAUACGGUACACGAGGUUUUAACGUGGUUCGGCCAACCAUACCUACGUACACGGAUGAGAGAGAAUAAUUCCACUAUACAAUAGAGAAUAUUACAGAGGAUAGAACCAGAUACAACUAUUGGGUUCCCGAAACAUCCCAUGUUUCCCCACUCCUUGUAUCCAUACCUUACUACGAGCCCUCUCGCUCCACCAGGUACCUCCCGUUCUUCCUCACAUCUCUAUCCACCUCGUAUAGUCUCUAUAGGCCCAUCUCUAUCUCAUAACUUUUUCCCCUUAUGACCUAGAAUAUUUAUAGAGAUAUUUCCAACAACCUUCCUUAUUCUAUAAGGAAGUCUAAUAUUACAAUAAUAUAUCAACCUAGAAAUAUUCUAUAUAAUAUUCUUUACAAAAAGGAAUCUAUACUAAUUAGGAAUUUGGGACACUUCCUAACAGUACAUACAUGGAACCUUAGGCACGUAGGAAUCAAGCAAAAAACGAAAAAUGGAUAAGUGGGUAUAAGGGGUGGUGGUGAUAUGCAUUGAGUGGUGGAAUUAAAGAAAAUGGGUACCCGGUGUAGCUUAGGGGGAGAAAGGUGGUAGGGAAAGAAUAUGAAGGUAUAGAGAGAGAAGUGGGUAGGGAGGUUAGGUGGUUCUGUUUGCAUGGUUCCCAUGCAUGUGAGUGGAUGAUUUGGAAAAGCUUUUGACAGCCACGUAUGGUGCAAGAGAUGGGCUAUGGGUUGGUAGGUGUGGUCAUGGGUAUGGUGGUGGUGUAGAGAGGGAAACUAUAGUAAUGAGAUGGAAAUAUGAGAAAAUGGAUAUGAAGAGGUAGGCAUGCAGAGAUGGGAAAUGGGUAUGAAAGAAAGGUAUGGGUUAUGGAGAGAGAAAAGGUGGUGAAUCAUGAAAUGGGUUUUAUGAGUGUAUGGGAUGAGAAAAUGGGUGUAUAUAGUUGCUGCAUCAUCCUCAUCCUGAAGCAAUAGAUCCAACUCAAGCCACAGUGACUCACACCAUACAGUGAAGUCAUCCUCAAUGCAUUGAUCAUCAUCCCCAAGACCCACUGAGAUAAUGCGCUUUUCACCCUCAGAGACUGCUGAAAUGUUUGUCUCAGAAUCAACAACUGGAUAAUCAUCAUGUUGUUCCCAUGCAUCCAUCACAACAUUCAAGUCCAUCUAAUAGCCAUUGCCCAAAAGCAGAACGUGAAACAUUGGGAGAUCACAACAUUACAAGUCCAUUGGUGAGAAUGUAUUAUCUAUGACUCCUUGCCCCCAUGAACAGAGAUGAGAAAAUAAUAUGCUCCAGAAACAGAUACGGGAACAGGGGAAGAUGGAGAAACAGAGCACAAAAGAAAAUAGAUAAAUAAAGUAAAACUCAGAGACUUUACUUCAUGGGUUUUUAGUAAGUCCCCUGUUUAGGUGAGAAAAACCAUCCCAAAUGCAACUACGGGCAUCAUCAUAAUAUAAGCAAAACAUACCUAAAUCAACAAUGGCAAAUAGGAAUGCAAGACUUCACCUCAACAAGCUACUAGUGGCCUUUAAUAUCCACCCCAAACAACAUGAUGCUUAGAAGCAUAAUAACAAUCUAAAGAAAAACAAUGAAUCACAAAGAAUGAGAGGAAAACAGUAUACAUACCUGGACUCCUUAAACCAAAAGAACCGAGCUUCGACCCUCUCAAUGAAUUUUUCUCCCUCUUUGUAACCGCUGGCCUCUCCAGAAAGUUCAAACCUCUCGCUUGUUUUUCUCCAAAAAGUCCUCCAGAUAUCUCCUCCUUCUUUCUUUUCUUCUUUUCCUGUUCUGAGUCUUCCUCCGCAAGCCAUGUCCGUAUCCCCAUCCCAUCUAGCCACCCGAGAGCAGCCCACUUCAGAGGAGUCAGAAAAACAGCAAAAAAAUAAUCAUAAAAAAAACUCUCAGCUCCUGGGGGGGCUACACAUACCUAUUUUAUUAAAAUUUUAAAAAGAAAAUUGUAAAAACUUAAAGAUUUGUCCAAAUGGAAUUUACUCAUUUGAUUCUCUUUUUAAGCCUUAUCAAAACAAUGAGAAUGAGAGAGAGAGAGAGAGUAUUUUUUAUUUUUUAUCUACUCGAAAAUGAUUUGUCAUAUAUUAUUAGAUGGUACAAAUUGAAUAAAAAAAAGAUAAGUACAAUUUGUCUUAAUUGAAUAGAUGGAAUGGAUAAACGAUUUUUUUUUUAUUAUUAUUAUUAAUUAACCAUGAUUCUGCCAUGAUUGGUAGUUUGUCUAUUCUUUUCAUAUAAAGUGUAAAUAAGUUUCAAUUUAUCUAAAAUUUAAAUAAAAAUUGAUGUAAAAUAGUAAAAUAUCAUCUAAAUCUUAAAUUUCAAAUUUCAAAAAAAAGUUAAAACCUUGUCAGAUUAUUAAUUUGGAUUGCCUCCUGUUUUAAAUAUAUAAAAACCUUGUUUGAUGGUCAUGAGCGUAAUCAUGCCCCAAAAUGGUUUUAGAGUUAUAUUAUGAAUAUAUUUGGGAAUGAUUUUAGAAAGUGUUUUUAACAUUUUUAACACUUAAAUGAUAAAAAAAUUUAAGUAUUAAAAAUAUCAAAAUUGCUUCCUAAAAUCACUAUCAAACAGUCUUUAAAACACCAUUAUUGUUUUCAUCAUUUUUUCAAUUUUGUUUUCCAAAACUUGUAUACAUAUUUUUAAUAAAUCCAAUUAGAUAAAAGCAUAUGUUUUCAAAUAUUUACAUUGUUUUCAUUAUUUUUACAUUCAAAUACAAGUUUUGAAAGUCGUUCUUUUGGUCUAAUUAAUUGUUCAUGCAUAGCAAGACUAAGUUCCUGUUUGGAUUUGCUUCCAACUAACCCAAUCAGGUUGAACAUUCAAGAGGAAGAAUGAAUUGGGUAUCAGUCAAUUUUUCUACUAGACUAGAUAAUUGAUAAAAUUAAAGAUUAAAAUAAAUGUCACAACAAUUGGAAUAAAAUACAAGUAAAAAAGAAAUAUUCACUCGCUCUAACUUCUUUCUGAGCUUAAAAUAUAUCCAUUAAUCCAAAAAUCCCUUUGACCAACAAUCUUUGAUGAAUGAACACAAAAGCUUCAUAGUUUGAUGAAGAAGCCUUUCUUUCAAACACAACUUAAACAUAAUUCCCAAACAUACAUUUUUUAUCAAAUUGAAAACUUUUGUCUGUAAAACCUAUGGAUUACAGGACAUGAAAAUAUUUAUACAAAUUCAAAGAAAUGCUAUGCACCCGCCUUCAUAAAUGGUGUCAAAGAAGAACACAAAGAAGAAUUGAAAGCCAACAUUUAAUCUCUCUUCUCCCAAUAUUCAGAAUCCAAG
rnacentral:lncRNA from 1 species